rnacentral:lncRNA from 1 species
UCUCAAGUGCUUUGGUUAGAUUCUGUUUGAUUUUGUUUUCCCUUUGAACCUACGUCUUGGGAUCUCCAGUCAUGAUAGGUAGGGUUGCAAUCAAGCAUCCUCAUUCGUUAUAGGCUUUAAACCCAUUCAUUUUGAUGAUUUAGCAACAACAUCUCGUGACAAACCUUUAGUAAAUGGAUCCGCUAGGUUGUCAGCCGAUUUGAUGUACUCUAUUGUAAUUACACCAGUUGAGAUAAGUUGUCUAAUGGUUUUAUGUCGUCUUCUGAUGUGACGAGAUUUACCAUUGUAGAGAUUAUUCUCAGCCCGAGCUAUAGCUGAUUGACUAUCACAAUGUAUGCGUAUAGCUGGCACAGGCUUCUCCCACAUAGGAAUAUCUUCCAAAAAAUUUCUAAGCCAUUCAGCUUCUUCCAUCGUCGAUCUGGCUAACACUGUUUGUUUGGUAGAUUUCCAUGAUAUUGCUGCUCCCCCUAGUGUAAAUACAUAUCCACUUGUGGAUUUUGAGUUUUUAGAAUCUGAUAUCCAGUUAGCAUCACUGUAUCCUUCUAAAACUGCUGGUUCUUUACCAUAGUGGAACCCAAAAUCUUUGGUGUAACGUAAGUAAUUGAGUACCCUCGUUAUAGCUUUCCAGUGUGUAUGACCUGGAUUACUUGUAUAUCGACUAAGUACGUUUACUGCAUGCGCUAGAUCUGGUCUAGUACAAUUUGUCAAGUACAUGAGACUUCUGAUCACACGUGCAUACUCGUUUUGUGAAACCGCUUCACCUGAAUUCUUUGUCAAGUGCAUUUGGGGAUCUAACGGAGUUUUUGCCGUAUUAUUAGAGUAAUUUUUAAAUCUCUCUAAUAUUGUUUGAGCAUAAUGAGAUUGGGUUAAGAUAAUUCCGUUUGAAUUUCUUGUGACUUUAACCCCGAGAAUUACAUCUACUAAUCCCAAGUCUUUCAUCUCAAAUGUCCCUUUGAGCAUGUUCUUUGUUUGAUUGAUAAUGUCUUUAUUGCUUCCAAUAAUGAGCAUAUCAUCUACAUAUAGACAUAGCAAAACAUACGCAUUUUUGGUAGUUUUGUAGUAUAUGCAUUUGUCACAUUCAUUUAUUUUGAACCAUUUGACAUCAUUGUAUUGUCAAAUUUUUCGUGCCAUUGUUUAGGAGCUUGUUUAAGCCCAUAAAGUGACUUUACAAGUCGACAUACUUUGUCUUCUUGUCCGGGAAUGACAAAACCUUCAGGUUAUUUCAUGUAAAUUUCCUCUUCUAAAUCACCAUUUAGAAAAGCAGUUUUUACAUCCAUUUGAUGGAUUUCUAGGUCUCUCAAGGCUGCGAUUGCUAUCAUCAGUCUUAUUGAUGUUAUUCUCGUCAUUGGAGAGUAUGUAUCAAAAUAGUCAAGGCCUUCCUUUUGUCGGAAUCCUUGAACUACAAGCCUAGACUUGUAUUUUCCACCAGGUUUGCGUGUCAUUAUCCAUUUAUUUCCUAAUGCUUUGCAGCCAGGUGGUAAAUCCGUUAUGUAAUACGUAUAAUUUUGCAUAAUCGAAUCUAAUUCACUCCUGACAGCUUCGUUCCAAAAAGGAGCUUUUGGUGAAGCCAUGGCUUCUGCCAAAGUUUUUGGAGCAUUUUCUACUAAAAAUGCCAUUAGGAAAUCUUCUCCAAAAGAUUUUUCCUUUCGAGCUCUUUUGCUUCUUCGAGGUUCAUCUUUUCCUUCAUUUUCUGAAAUAUCAUUUAUAGAAAUCUCGACGUUUGUCUCAGUUUCUGAGUUCUUGUCGUUGUCUCUUUCUUCUCGAGUUCGUUUUGAAUCUUGUUUUUCCUUAUAUGGAAAAAUAUUUUCGAAGAAAGAUGCAUUUCUUGAUUCCAUGACUGUAUUUUCAUGAAUGUCUGAUAUUUCAGAUUUAUGUACCAGAAAACGAUAAGCAUUACUGUUAUGUGCAUAUCCGAUGAAGAUGCAAUCCACUGUUUUAGGUCCAAUAGUGACCUUCUUUGGUGGCGGUACCGCAACUUUUGCCAGGCACCUCCACACUUUGAGGUAUUUAUACGAAGGUAACUUUCCUUUCCAUAAUUCAUAUGGAGUUUUGCCAGUUACUUUGUGUGGAAUCUUGUUGAGGAUAUAAUUAAUGGUAAGCAACGCUUCCCCCCACAUGUUCUGGGGUAACCCAGAUUCCUGCAACAUAGCAUUCAUCAUCUCUUUUAGAGUUCGAUUUUUGCGUUCAGCAACUCCAUUAGAUUCUGGUGAGUAAGGAGCUGUAGUUUGAUGGAUUAUUCCAUGUUCUUUACAGAAUGCAUUGAACGGACCAUCAUACUCGCCUCUUCUGUCGCUUCUAACUACUUUAAUAGUUGUUUUAAGCUGAUUCUCGACCUCGAGUUUAAAUUCUUUAAAUUUUUCCAAGGUUUCAUCUUUGCUAUGUAAUAAAUAAACAUAACAAUAUUUUGUGCAGUCAUCUAUGAAGGUCACAAAGUACUUUUUACCACCUCUAGUUUGUAAGUAUUUUAAAUCACAUAAAUCAGUGUGAAUUAAAUCUAGAGGUUUAUUAGUUCUUUCAACACGAGGUGAUGGCGUUUUUGUGAGCUUUGCCUGUACGCAUACUUCACAUUUUUGUUUACUUGUUUUGCAUUUAGGAAUUAGAUUUAAAUUCAUUAAUAUUUGUAUAGACUUGUAGUUUACAUGGCCUAAUCUUUCAUGCCAUAUAUUAAAAGACUCAACCAAAUAAGCAACUGGCUCAUUCUUAUUCAUUGAAACUUUUGGAGCUACAACUUUUGGAGUGACUGUCAUUACAUUCAACUUGACAAGUCCACCCUUAACAUAUCCCCUUCCCAAAUACAUCCCAUUCUUCCUAAUCACGAGCUUAUCCGCCUCAAAACUUGUGGCGAAACCAUUCUUGCUGAGCAAGGUUCCCGAGACUAGGUUCUUCCUCAUGUCAGGCACAUGCUUCACAUUUGUCAGAGUGACCUCACGUCCAAAUGUCAUCUUCAAGAUCACAUUGCCGCGUCCUUCAAUCUUGGAGACUGUAGUGUUUCCCAUCUUGAGCUUCUCCUUAGUCUUGCUUUUCUGAUAGGUGCUGAACAUCGCCCUAUCGGUGCAAAUGUGGGUGGUUGCACCAGUGUCAUACCACCAUUCCUUGAGGUUGUUGCUUUCAACCAUAUUUGCUUCAGUCACCACAGCAACGAGAUCCUCCUCAGUGAGAUUUGCCUGAGCCUUCUCAUCUUUGAUCUUUUUGCGACACUCAACAGUUUUGUGCCCCACUUUGUGGCAGUAGUGACAUUUCCCCUUGAACUUCUCCACAUUCGCAUUGAUCUCAAUACCUUUGUUCUUGAAGUUUUUUUCAGAAGCCUUCAAGGCUGCAGCAGUUUUGGAAGGCUUGGCAGGAGAAUAGGCGUGGGCCUUUCCUUUGCCUUUGUGCUCAGCCAUGUUGACACUGUGCUCCUUUGUACCGACCUUUGCAGCAGUUCGGUUUCUGGAUUCCAUCUGAAGCCUCGUGAUGAGCUCCUCGAGCCCCAUCUUCUUCUUCUUGUGCUUCAAGUAGUUCUUGAAAUCCCCAUAGCUUGGAGGAAGCUUUUCAAUGAAGCUGAGAGUUGUGAAUGUCUCGCAGAUGGACAUUCCUUCAGCAGCGAUUUCAUGGCAAAUGAGCUGAAGCGCUUCCACCUGAUCCAUGAUGGGUUUUGAAUCCACCAUUUUGAAGUCGUGGAAUUUUGAGACUACAUACUUCUGGCAGCCAGCGUCCUCACCUCUGUACUUCUUGUCUAGUGAUCUCCAUAACUCUUUCGCCGUGGGGAUCUCACAAUAGACACGGUACAAUGGGUCAAUGAGGCGACCCAAAAUGUAGCCUUUGCAGAUGAAGUCGGAAUGCACCCAUAUGUCAACAGUUGCGAGGCUGUGAACAUCAUCAAUCCCGUAAGGCAUAAGGGGCUUGUCCUCCUGGAGGAACUUCUCCAGCUUCAUCGUUGCCAGGAAGAACAACAUCUUCUUCUGCCACGUUUUGAAGCCUUUGCCAUCAAAUUGGUUUGGCAUCAGUCCUUGAGUGAACACACUAGGGACAGCCGGAGGAGUUUGAACUGCCACCGGACCACUUACAGUUGCUAAAAUUGAACCCGUCUGAUAAAGACCAGCACCGAAUAGGAUACGGCGAGUGGUUUCAUCAGCAGCAUUCCCUGCAGAGAGGAAAGUGCUCGUUGUUGCUGCAGUGGUUGACGCUGUGAUGUUUCCAGCGGUUGUCACGCCAGUUGCUGCAGCGUUGAGUGGAGUCUGAAUGACAUCCAAGGUGUCCAUGGGAGUGGGGGUGUCGUUCUCGUUUGUCAUUUUCCUGUAGAGAAAACAUGAAAACGGAUUAGUACUCCAUUCAACAAUUACAUAUUAUUUUAAUGAAAAUAAUAGUCUAAAAUCGAUGUUCUUUUUUGGUGUUUGAACCAAAUCAUAUCGAUAUAAGUUUUGAAAAAACGUUUUGCAAACUCGCUUAAAAGCGUUCGCAGAAACCAUUUUUAUAGACUUAGAAUGUUUCACAAACUCGCUUAAGAAAGCGAUCUUGAAACAAUUCAUUUAUAGAACGUUUCGCUAUACUGCUAGAAAACAAUCCGCAAAGCGUUAUUAAUAAAUAAGAAACGUUUCGCGGAAGGGCUAUAAAGCAAAUCGCAAACUCGUUUUCACCAAAAUAAGAAACGUUUCGCGGAUAAGCAUAUAGCAAAUCGCAAACAACGUUUGAUUGAACCCCGAAAGGUUUUUACGAAUCGUAUAUCAAAAAACGUUUUCCGGUAGUGCUACAGAGCAAAACGCAAACCGUUUAUGAGAUAAAUAACAAAACGUUUCGCGGAAGUGCUAGAAAGCAAAUCGCAAACAGCGUUCCAAAACCCGUAUUUAUAAAUCGUUUUUCAACCCGAUUCGAGCUUUAAACGUAAAGCGAUUAAGAGUUAAGAUUGUAAAAGCCGGAAAACCGGAUCAAAAGAAACGAUAUAAUAUAAACGACGUUAAGGAAAAUAUACAGACGAUUCAAAACCGUAACGGAAAUGAAACCAUGGAGUCAAGACGAAUCUCUUUCCUUAACUCUUAAUAUUCGCUCCGUUAGUGCGACGGAUCUGUACGAAUAGGAGUCCCAGGAUAAAACCAUGAUAGGUUAUCACGCAGCCCUCGUGAAGAACCUCUAACGAACUAAUAUUUCUAUGAAACACUCUCUAGACUUACGCUAUAGGAUUUGCUGGUUUUUGUUGUGAAAAAACGUCAAAAGAAAUGAAGGAGGAGACGAGUUUAUAAAGAAGAGAAGACGAGCCACUUUCCGUAACUGAUGCCGCACGUGCGCACGUUGGCGGAAAUCUCGCGAGGAUCUCGGAGGUGAGGCGUUACGAAACUUCCUCCGCAAGAUCAUCUUUUCUCGUUUAUACUUAUCGUCAAGAAGAGAGACAACGUGUUGUUUUUAAACGAACUACGUAUUGUUUAAAAUAAAAUGCAUGUCGUUUUUUCGGGAAUUAAAUGACAAAGCGUUGAGCUUAACUUGGUCCAAAAAGAAUAGUUCUUAUCAGGCCUUUGGUCCGACACCCACGCCCACGCCGAGCCGGCCAGACGGCGGCGCGCGCGUGGAGAGCUCUCUCUUCCUCUGAGCCGUUUAACACAUGGUAUGUGUGAGUGCAUAUAUAUACAGCUCGACUCUUCUCUUCCUCCCCGAUAUAGGACUUUGUAAGUUUCAUUUCAUUAACCACACAUAAGUGGGCUAUUAGGCACACAAGCCCAAUCAUUUGUUAUUCACAUAUUUUAAUUAAACCCAAUUGGUUUAAUUGAUCCAACAUUAACUACACUUCAAAGGCAGCCAAAGUUUCUUCCCUCACAGAACAGCCUUCAUAAGUGGGCUAUUAGGCACACAAGCCCAAUCAUUUGUUAUUCACAUAUUUUAAUUAAACCCAAUUGGUUUAAUUGAUCCAACAUUAACUACACUUCAAAGGCAGCCAAAGUUUCUUCCCUCACAGAACAGCCUUCUUAAUAUUUCUAUAUAAACACUAAAUAAACUAACCAUCACUGCCCUGCCCUGAGAAGCUAUCUUUUAAAAAUCAUUGGGUGAAAAGAAACAUUUCACAACUAUUGUAGGAACUGGAACCAAACAUGGCCAAGUCUCACCAUGACACCAUCUUUGGUUUUUUAUCACAUCGUUGUUUAUUCCUUAUCUAAUGCACUUAUAUAUUUAGACGCGUAUUAGAAUCUACGUCCAUGGUUAUCUCCUCGACUGUUCAGACCAUUUUGCAUGGAUUGUCAUGUGGUGAAAAGAGUGAAGACUUAAAUUGGAUGAUUUAUUAUGCUUGCAUGGAUGCUUUAUUAUGCAUAUAUAAACUGGAUUUGUGAACUGUGCAAAGCAAAAUGGCAAAUAAUUCAAGCAGAGAGACAUGGGGAGAAUCUAAACCACACUUUCAUGACAGUAUCAGAAACCUUUGCUUCUCACUUCUUUUGCUGAGCCUUGAGUUCUUUUACCCUCUCUUCCGUUGCUUUCAAUGCUUUCCCGUAGAUAUCAAUUAACUGCAAAAAUGAAUAAGAGCCACCAAAUUAGGGGAAAAGGGGAAAAAAAAAGAUUUAACAGAUUAAUGAUGUCUCAAGAAUUGUAACCUAUAUAUACCUCAUCGAUCUCUUCAGGUGAGAUAAUGAGCGGUGGAGACAUCAUUAUGCCAUCACCUGCAACACGGACUAACAUACCGCGUUUCUGGCACUCGGCUCCAAAAUAUGCACCAACACCUGUAAACAUCAAUUGAAAACGGUGCAGGGAUGUGUGUAAGGUAAUGAGUUUAGGAGAGAGACACUUUUGUUGUUUGGUUGGUUAUUAGAGAUACUUUACCCCAUUCUGGGGGAAAUGGUUCGUUCGGAGAUUUGUUGUCUGUAAACUCAGUCCCCAGAAUCAAACCCGUUCCUCUUAUCUGAAAACCAUCACAAAAAUGUUCAAUCAAAGACUUCAACAGAUAGGCUGGUGAGUAACAUUAUACCUCUCCAAUAAUAGGACUACUCUUGGCAAAAGCUUUAAGACCAUCUUGAAACCUUGGGGAAACUUUGGCGACAUGUUCUGGUAUGUUCCUCUCCCUGUCAUAUGAAUAUUGAGCGUCAAGAAAGUGCAGAUAAGAAUAGAGAAAUGAGAACCAUAAUCACCAACUCACUUGUAUAUCUUUAACGCUUCAAUUGCUACAGCACAUGAAACUGGAUGACCAGAGUAAGUAAAUCCAUGCGAGAAAGCACCUGAAAUACCAAAACAAAAAAUGGGUUUUAAGAUCUCAGGAUACUGGAAUAUUACAAAGUUGAGCAUAACUAGCCCAUACCUAGCUUGUUGCUUUGAGAAUAUAUGACAUCUGCUACUUCUUGACUCAUAAGAAUGGCACCAAUAGGCAUAUAUGCUGAAGAGAGUGCCUGCAUCAUAUAUUAAAAACAUUUACCAAUUGUCUGGAGAAGUUUCGCAACAGUGAUAGGAAAUCUACAAAUCAUCUGACAAAAUCUCACCUUGGCUAAGGACACAAGAUCUGGCUUGAUGUUGUAUUUGUCACAGCCAAACAUUGUCCCCAGUCGCCCAAAUGCACAAAUCACCUUAUAGACCAAACAUAAUUAUAACGGGUAAUGAUAUCUUUUUUUUUCUUCAUCGUGAUAGUAAACAUGGUUCAAUAAGAUAAUGCAUAUACCUCAUCAGCAAUGAACAGGAUGUCAUACUUCUUAACAACAGCUUGAAUCUGCAGUACAGAAAUGAGAUAAGAAAAAAAAACACAUCACAUCCACAAUGACCUUACCACGAAAAAGAUUAAUCAUUGCAGUUUGGUAUUUAUGCCAACAAAGGUUUCGAAAUUGACCUUUUCAAAGUAUGUAGCAGGCGGAGGUAUCACACCGCCAGCACCCAUUACUGGUUCAGCAAUAAAAGCACCAAUCUGGUAAGAAGACAUUUGCGUUAGAUUGGAGCUGCCAACAUCAACGUUACUAAAUGAAGAUCGUAAUUUCCUUAGAUUGCUCACAGUUUCUGGUCCCUCUUUAAUGAUAAGAUCCUCUAAAUUCUUGGCUAAUCUGGUUGAGAACUCCUCUUCCGUUUCCCCUGCACAAAAAAUUAUCCAAGGUUAAAAUAAAAAGAUCACACUCAAGCUUUUAGCAAAGCUUCCCUUUAACCAAUAAUGGAAUUUAGAAUCCUUCAUACCCGGAAGAUGAAAACGCCAGUAAUGAGGGCAAUCUGUGUGCAACACAAAUGGUGCAGGUAAAUCAAAGUUUUGAUGCAACGCUGGGAGACUGUAAAAUUAGAGAAUCAAUAUUUUGAUGCAUUUGUUAGGCAAAUAUAAAGUCUCUUUGGCAUUUCUAAAGAGAAUAUCUGAGGAACUAUAUAUUCAUCAUACCCGGACAAACUUGCUGAUAUUAAAGUGGAGCCAUGGUACCUGAAAUUCAUAACACCACCCUUAUAAGUAAGUACUUCGAGAGCUUAUAGAAACAGAUAACACACAAAAUGACAAGCAAAUAUCCUUUUCUUUCUCACGAUUUCUUUCUCGCGAUAAACUUUUUCUUCUCAGGCCUCCCAAGUGCGUUAUUGUAAUACCAAACCAGCUUGACCUGCAUAAUACAUGAGAUUUAUAAGCUUCUAAACAAGGAGAUCAAGGUAGAUCAUAUAGUUUGGGGAACCUCAAACCUGUGUAUCAUUGGCCUCUGAUCCACUGUUUGUAAAAAAUGCUUUGGCCAUUUUCUUGGCCGUGAACAUCUCUAAAAGAUCCUUAGCAAGAUCCUGUUUUCGCAGGAAAAAUAUAACACAAUGAUCAAAUUCUCUUUAAUCACCCUAAUUACACAGCAGAAUGUACAAAAAACAUUAUUAAUAAAAGGACAGCAGAAGUAAAAAGUCUCACCAGAGAAGGCUUAGUAGUACGGUUCCAAAAGGAGUGAUAAAAGGGCAAGGUGUUCAAUUGCCCUACAGCAGCAGAAACAAGCCGUGGCUCAUUUCCUCCUGCAAGAUGUUGUGGUAUCAAUGCUAACACUUUCACAAAUAUCCUAGGAAUAGCGAAAUAUACAAAAAGGAAAAAAGAGAAACAUCAAGUCAAAUAGUGUGGUAACAGAAGGAACAAUAUACCUAAGGCAGUACACCAUAGACCAGCGAGAGAGUCAAGAUACUUCUUCCCAUGGUCAUCAUACACAUAACUCCCCUGUAAGAAGAAUGAAAGGAAAAGAAAUGUCACACACUUUUUUGUAGGAACAUUGACGAAUGAAUCAAAAAAGAAGGGGGGUGACCUCGGAUUUGGCUAUGAUCAAAGGAUCUAAAUCAGCACUCUGCCACCCAGCUGUAAAAGGUGCUAGCAUAUCAUGCCCCUUUGACCUGCCCAUCAGAAAACGCAACCACUUAUUCAUCGCCACGUUGACAAAAGCAUGAAACUUUUGCAGAAAAUAAUCACGAGUGUGAAACUUACCCAAGCUUCUCUGGUGAUGCUUCUGUAGUGAGGAUUCUUGAGCCAGGCAUGUAUUGGGAAGAAACAGCAUACCUGCUCUGCAAAGUAACCUGCCAUAUGAGAGAGGAGCGAGUUUUUUGAGCUAUGAAUCAAAAUCACUAUUUGAGUUAAUAUAUAUAAAAUGGAUUCCUUGAAAUUCUUCAAGAUCACUGUUUGGGUAGUUUAUUAUUAUAAAAUUAAAAAAAGGGUUCCUUGAUUACUGGAGAAUCCCACAAAAGUUACACUCUCACAAAGUCACGUUUGAUGGGAAUAUUAUUUGAAAGUACGACUUACAAAAAAAAAGAAAAAGAAGAAAGAAAGAUUCAAUUUUUAAGCAUUUGAACAUGAAUCUGGACAGAAUCCUGAUCUACUACGGGUGAGGAGUGACGAUGAAGCAGCUAAAAAGCAAUCGAAAGGAGCGAGUGAGAAAACCUGGGUAGUGCGCGCCAAUCGUCGGAGGCUGUUGACCACUGCCAUUUCGAAGAUUGAAUCUGUAGAAAUGAUCCUUUGAUUCUUUUGAGAUUUGUUCGCUUUUAAAAACAGAGGAGGAUCAUCAUCGUUGAUACCUUCCUUAUAUGAAUACUCUACAAAAUUAAAUAUCUUUUUUCUUAUUAUCUCUUCGACUCCCAUUUGAUUUUUGAUCAGUGACGUGUCAUUGACUCAUUUUAUUACAUAUAUAUUUUUGAUCAUCGUCCUUGAUACCUUCCUUAGUUUCCAUUCAUUUUUUUCCCACAAAUUGAAUUUAUUCAUACGGAAAAUACCAGUAUUUAUACCGGCCAAACAAAAUAGUCUCAGAACCAAAAGUCCAUAAAAAAUGACAACUAAAUAUCACAUUGAGGCGACUUAAACCCACACCAGAGUGACUUAAAAAAGAACAUAAAACAUAACAACUACAAUGAUAUAAUAGUGCACCUAGCAAUCUUUAGAAAUGAUAAAAUGCCAAUGAUCGAGAAUUACCGCUGCUGCCUAUAGUCCACCACCCGGUACAUUCUACUUCUACACCUAAACCACACUUAUCGAUGCUGCCUUGUCCGCCACACGAUAAGACCAAGACCCGGAGACUUCACAAACUCGACAAGGAGAACACGCUGCUCGGUCCACACUUUUUGGAUAUAUAAACACUCUACGAUCUAAGAAAAAAGCUCCUCCAAACACCAAGAAGAUGAAGCCUUGCCAACCGAAUUUUUUGAACACUUACUGGAGAGAAGAACCAAACGGCAAGCAAUCAAUAGACACAUUACGUCUAAAAGAAAGACUGCUAAGUCACAAGUAACACGACCAAACCCGGCGAAGCUCACUGAGCCACACCACAACUCCCUCCUCAAAAUAAAUCGAUCAAAGCAGCAAAAAGGAAAUGUGGAUGGACCACAAUAACCCACCGCAAUGAAGAAACUUCUAUACUUCAUCUAAUCAAAGAGCUGUUUCUCUGAACAAACAAAAGAUACCCCCGCAAGAAUAUGGACAAACUGACUCCACAUACAACAAACACACAGACCAACGCUUCGAGAAAAAGGUAGAACGAUAAACCUCAUGCCAUGAAGAACAGCGAAGGAAGGGACAAGCAAAAGCUCACCAGACCCACACCAAGUCGCUCUCCCCCAAACCUGAGUCAGAUUUGGAAAGGCACUGAAUCGAAACUACCCUCCUGUGAAGCCAGUGGUGGAGGCAAUUCAUUGUCACGGUAGUCAAAUGACCCACGUGAAAUUAUGAAAACAUUAUGGCUUUUAUUAAGAAUUUUAAAAUGACCCUGGUCCAAAAUAUUUAUUGAUCCCGUUAAAAUUUUUCUGACCCUUAUCCAAAUUACUUUGACCCUAGUCCAAAUUUUGUAUGGACCAUAAUCUAAUAACUACAUUAAUUAAUUUGCAGCCUAUUAGAUUUUAGAUAAAGAAUUACAACAAAAUAAGCCCACCAGAUAAAAUAAACCCAACCAUUAAUAUUAUUUCAAUGACUUAAGUCUAAUUAUUAUAUUAAUUUAGUCAUUUGGACGUUUUGUUUUCUUCUUCUCCUUUCUGGUCUUUCUGAAACUCGUCCAUUACAACAACAGUAGCCAGUAGCGAAGGUAAUAAAUAUUGUAUUUUGUUAAAUAAUUUAUUUAAGCUUUCUUCUUCUACCAAAUAUGAAUAAAGUAUUAUAUUUUUAUAAAAAUCAAAAGAUCUUAAAACUAGUUUUUAUUUAUGGCUUGUUCCUUCGAUUUUUAGAUUAUUUUAUCCUAAUAAUUGUUAUGUUUCAUAGUUUCAAAUGAUAAAAUACCAAAUGUCUACAUAAAGGAUACCAUUUGCACAAAAAACAGAAGGAUUGCUCAACAUACAAAUUUCGUAACUAUUAGACAUAGAGAAUUGAACAUUGUCUGUUAUAUUAUAUACUUGGUUUGAUAUUAUAUUUUGUUUUUAUUUAUGCAGGUACCAUCAGACAAAAUGGAACGAUAUUUGAAUUUGAACAAAAGAAAAGCUCCACCAUCUGAUAUCAACUUGGAUGAUUUGCCGUGGGAUCCAGCUAAGCGGAAAAACAUUCUAGACUACCCUUAUAAUCAAAGAGAUGAAGUAAGGCGCAAGUAUUUGACUAGAGGACCUUGUCAACCUAUUGGUCAUACUUUUCAACAAAAAUCAAUAGGAGGUGUAUUACGACGCUUUAAUCCACGUUGGUUUGAGCAGUACCCUGAUUGGUUAGAGUAUAGUCUGGAUCAAGAGAAGGCUUUUUGUUUGUUUUGUUACUUGUUCAGAGUUCAAGCUGGAAAACAAGGCGGAAGUGAUACUUUUGUAUCAACGGGGUUUUCUAGUUGGAAUAAGGCUGAUAGUUUCAGUAAGCAUGUGGGAGAUCAUACUAGUUUUCACAACGAUGCUAGAAAUAAAUGUGAAGACUUGAUGAGACAAAGUCAGUCUAUCAAGCAUGCUUUACAUAAACAAACCAAUGUUGUGAAGAAUGAUUAUCAGAUCCGUUUGAGUGCUUCGAUUGAUGUUUCUAGACACUUGUUACACCAAGGACUGUCUUUUCGUGGUCAUGAUGAGAAAGAAGAGUCAACAAACAAAGGUAAUUUCUUAGAGCUUCUGAAGUAUACGGCUAGUCAGAAUGAGGCUGUUAGAAAAGUUGUGAUGAACAAUGUUCCUAAAAAUAAUCAGAUGACUUCUCAUCCUAUCCAGAAAGACAUUGCUCAUUGCUUUGCGGAAGAAGUAACUAAGUCUGUCAUACAAAAAAUCAACAAUGAUGUAUUUGGCUUGCUGGUAGAUGAAUCGGCUGAUAUUUCAGAUAAAGAGCAAAUGGCUGUGGUUUUUCGUUUCGUUGAUAAAUUUGGGCUCGUAAAAGAAAGAUUUGUUGGUCUUAGUCAUGUGAAAGAGACAUCUUCUUCAACUCUGAAGGAUGCUAUUGAUGAUUUGUUUUCGAAACAUGGAUUGAGUUUGAAAAAGGUGAGAGGACAAGGUUAUGAUGGGGCCAACAAUAUGAAAGGAGAAUUCAAUGGUUUAAGAUCUUUGAUUUUGAGAGAAAGUAGAUCUGCAUAUUAUGUUCACUAUUUUGCUCAUCAACUUCAGUUGGUUGUUGUGGCUGUUGCAAAGAAGCAUUUUGAAGUUGGAGAAUUUUUCGAUAUGGUUCAUGUUCUGUUGAAUGUGGUUGGGGUUCUUGUAAAAGAAAAGUUAUGCUCACUGAAAGUAAUCGCAAGAGAAUGGAAGAAGAGAUUAGUAAGGGUAAAAUGAAGACUGGAACUGGGCUGAAUCAAGACCUUUCUCUUAAAAGACCUGGAUAUACUCGUUGGGGUUCACAUUACAAGACUUUAUUACGUCUUGUUGUGAUGUUUCCAUGUAUUAUUGAAGUUCUUGAACAUAUUCAGAUAGAAGGCAAAGAUGGCACCAAAAGACAACAAGCAUAUGGUCUCCUCAAAUAUUUUCAGACAUUUGGUUUUGUCUUUCAUCUACACUUGAUGCUUGUUGUUUUGGGACUCACUAAUAAUUUGUCAAAGGCUCUACAGAAAAGAGAUCAAGAGAUCUUGAAUGCAGUUUCAUUGGUUGAAUCUACUAAGCAACAAUUAUAGAAGCUUAGAGAUGAAGGAUGGGAUGAUUUUGUGGCUGAAGUUUAUUAUUUUAGUGAGAAGAAUAAUAUUGAAGUGCCUAGUAUGGAAGAAAACUUUGUUGACUCAAGAAAACCAAGGAGUAAAACUGGCAUCACAAACUUGCAUCAUUAUAAGGUGGAGUGUUUUUACACUGUUCUAGAUUUGCAGCUUCAAGAGUUCAAUGAUCGAUUUGAUGAGGUGAAUUCUGAACUACUAAUCUGUAUGGCAUCCUUAAGUCCGACAGAUUCUUUUGUUCAGUUUGACAAGUCAUUGUUGGUGAGACUAGCUGAGCUUUAUCCAGAUGAUUUUAGUUGUGUGGAGCGAAGAUCUCUUGAGCAACAGUUUGAAAUCUACCUUGAUAAUGUGAAAAAGAUGAAAGAUUUUCUAAUCUAGAGAGUAUUGGUGAUCUUGCUCGUGUAUUGGUUGAGACAAGGAAACAUCUUUCUCAUCCUUUGGUUUAUCGUAUUUUGAAGCUAUGUUUGAUUCUUCUUGUUGCAACUGCAAGUGUUGAAAGGUGCUUCUCUGCCAUGAACAUUGUGAAGACGGCCUCGCGUAACAGUAUUGGUGAUGAAUUUUUAAGUGAUUAUCUAAUUUGUUUCAUUGAAAAGCAAAUUCUUGAUACAGUGGCAAACGAAACAAUCAUAAAAAGCUUUCAAAAUAUGAGUGAGCGUAGAGUACAUCUUUGAAAUUCGAUGUACGGUGAUAUUUUUAUUAUUCAAUAGUUUAUGUACUUUAAGCAAAGUUAUACUAUGACCCCCGUCAACAUUUUCUCUGCCUCUGCCACUGUGUGAAGUCCUGCCCCGACGAAUCCUUGCAGCAUCUCGUUGCUAUUCCAGUGACGUGACAGACUCUGCCUCGCCGAUUUAGAUCCUCCAGAAACUCCAAGAAAAUCAAGAAUAGCGCGCAUUUCGAUACAGUGCAAAAAAAAAGACGAAAUCGGUAAGGAACAUGAGAAAGGACAAAAAAAACUACAAAAAGAGGAGGAGGAGAGGGCUCUCACGGUGACUAACCACCGGAUACGCCCCUCUUCUGAUAUGAUUCUGUUGACAGUGCUUUUAGGAUUUUCGCAAGUGUAUUCUCUUUCACGACUAGUUUCUAUUCAUUUUGGCAGCCAUAUUUUGCAAAUUCCUUACCAUAUUAAAUCACACCAACUACGCCAGCUUGUUUCUUUUUUCUUUUAAUUCAAAAGUUGAUUAAUAUUAAAUUGAAGUUCGUAGGAACAAAAUAAUUAUGUUGUGUGAAUAUUUUUUUAGCAUAAAAUAACAUAAAAAUAACAAACAUAUUGCGGUAAGAGAUCGAUGAUAGAAUCAUUUUCAGUACUGCUAAACUGUUUCCAUUUUAGUGAGUGGUUAGCGUAUACUUGUUUUUUUUUUUUUGAAAAAAAGCGUAUACUUGACUUGUUUUACCUAUUGCAGCUAAAGGUUACGGCCGAUUAUUAUUGUCAAGAUAGUCAUCUUCGCUGAUAUGUUCAUUUUGUUUUUCUAUUUAAUAACUUGAAUCACAGUGGUAACAUAUAUAGCGUUAACAAUCAGUACAAAUUUAGAUAUCAUUCAUUAGGUUAGUAUAUGUUUAUCGAUGCAUGAAACAAUAGAGAAAACGAUCCGUGUUACAAAAAUUACAAAUCAGUCUCAUCCAUGUCAUAGAUGACAAUGACAAGACAGUCACAUAAGAUAAGAAACUUUUUUUGUCUUCUCAUUCAAAUAUUAUUUACUAUACAGAAAAAAAAUUAAGAACUAGCAGAAACUAAACUGUGUGGCGUUUUACAGCUUAAUAAACGCUGAGAAGUUCAGGUUACAAGGCGCAAUUUAGCACCCCGACGGCGUGCAAUCUAUCCAUCAUUCAUUCAUUCGUAUCUGAGUAGAGGGAAACGAAACGAUAAAUCAAUUUCUAGCAAGUCAAUUCCUAUCUGUCAAUCUUCUUCGCAUUUUAGAGCGAGAAAAUGAGACUUUUUAGAGAGAGAGAGAGAAAAAGUAGGCAAGAAAGACGGUCACUGACUGAAUAAAAGAUCACUCACUCUCACACCCUUUCAAGAGAUCUCAUCGCCCGAUCUUUCCUUCCUUCCCCGCCGGUAAAGUUUCUAGCUUUGCUUCUUCUCUCGUGUCUCUUCGUUUCUCAAUUUGAGAGUUUACUGCAAAGUUUCCUUAUUUAUUCCAAUACAGAGUUGCUGAUUAAAAGUAUUCAUCAAUAAAGUUUUGGUUUUAAUUUUGAGAUCCUAACAUUGUCCGAAGAAUCUAGCUACUCAUUUCAGUUUCCUUACUUGUGUAUCUAUUGCUGCUUCAGCCCAAAAAGGAAAGUUUGUUUCUUUCUCUAUAAUUCAGCUGCUAUUCAAUUCUGCAGGUAGUUCUUAACUUGCUUUGAUAGAAAAUGGGUGCUUCAGGGAGAUGGAUUAAAGCACUUGUUGGUUUCACCAAGUCUGAUAAGUCAAAGUCUAAAAAGAAGGAUGAUAAUGUAAGCACACACUAUGUUAUUUCUUUACAAGAGAAUCUCUUUAUCUAAAUGCCAAAUGUUGUAUACUUUCUUCACCUUUUUUUUUGUAUUUUCAUUAUAUGUUUGUUCAAUUGGCGAAGGUGAAGACUGCAACCAAGAGCCGGUUUGGGAGAAACCAUUCUGUUGAUUUUGAUGCUGAAAAGUUUCAACUUGGAUUUGAAGAUUCCAAUACGCAUAGCAGCAUGUUAGAUAAUGGGGUCUCCACUUCAACUUCUUAUGGUGCUGCUAAUGAAGAACAAAGGAAGGAGCACAUGGCUGCAACUCGGAUUCAAACAGCUUUUCGAGGGUUUCUGGUAUCAUCAUCACUUUCUUCGCCCUGUCAACUUUUUUUUUAAUAUUUGUCUCAAGCGUUACUGAGAGAAAGAUGAUACCUUUUUUCUCAGGCUAGAAGGGCUUUACGAGCAUUGAAGGGAUUGGUUAGACUUCAGGCCCUUGUUAGAGGACACGCGGUGAGAAAGCAAGCUGCUGUAACGCUUCGAUGCAUGCAAGCGUUAGUAAGAGUCCAGGCUCGUGUACGCGCAAGACGUGUUCGUCUCGCCUUGGAAAGUGAAACGGGUCCGCAGAUGCUUCAGCAGCAGCUUGCAGAUGAAGCCAGGGUUCGAGAAAUAGAGGUGUGAUGAUCACUUGUCUCAGUUAUUUAACUUUUGCAAAGAGAAUUAUAGUUAUGUUGACUAUUUGUUCUCAUUUCUCAGGAAGGUUGGUGCGAUAGCAUUGGUUCUGUUGAACAAAUCCAAGCCAAGAUACUAAAGAGGCAGGAAGCUGCAGCUAAGCGUGAGAGGGCUAUGGCAUAUGCUUUGACUCACCAGGUUACUCACAACAACCUCUAUGCUUGUUAAGAAGUAACUGUUUGAAUUUUCGCACUUUGUACUAAUCAAAACAUUCCUUAUAACUCUUAUCUGAUUGUCAUGGGUUCUCUUCUAUAGGAUCAAUCUUUAACCAAACACUAUGAUAGCAAAACUGAAGCUGUAUACUCUUAAAUCUUACAUAUAAAAUUUGGUAUGUUGUAGUGGCAAGCAGGAACUCGGCAGUUAUCUGCGCACAGUGGUUUUCAGCCUGACAAAAACAACUGGGGAUGGAACUGGCUAGAAAGAUGGAUGGCUGUUCGUCCAUGGGAGAAUCGGUUUCUUGACAGUAACCUCAGGGACGAUGCCAUAUUAGGUGAAAACAAUAUGGAGCAAACUGAGAGUGUUGUGCAUAAAACUCAGAUGAAAAUUGCAAGCAAGAUUCCAAACACUUCAAAUCUUGCGUCCGGUGUUUCGAGUCAGAAGGUAACCGGGCCAUCUCUGUCGGAUGGUAAUUCCACUUCACCUGGAAUAUCUUCAAGCAUGCCAGUGCCAGUGGUGUCCAAGGAUAGGUCAAAGCUCGCUAAAGACGAUCUUGCUGUAGAAGUUGUUAACUCAAGACCUGGUGCUGGUCCAAGAUCACACAGCAAUCCAAAAGAAAGAUCAAGAGCGCCAGAUAGAGCUUCUAAGGAACGAUUAUCUCUGCCAAACAGUGGUCAGAUCUCUUUCUGUAUCCCCUAAGUUUCCUCUUUUUUUUUUUCCCUUUUUGAUGGUUGAGUGAAUAGUCUUAUCAACAUGGGGAUAGUGAUAAGAAAAUCAGCUUUGCAUUACUCAUAAGAAUACAGACCACAACUUAUAUGUGUAUACCUAAGAAGCAAUACAUUUGAUCUUUGAAACAUUUAGGCUGUCUUUUGACCUUUUUUUUUCCUUUUUAAGGCUAAAAUUGUGAACAUUGGUUCUUGAGCAGGAAAAUCCUUAGGAUCUCAGUCAGCUAAAGCCAAAUCUUCCCAAAACCAGAAAAGACGCAACUCUGAUCCAAUAAAACAGAGGCUUGCAUAGCCCUGGCUAGAGUCUCUGAGAAUCGUCAGUCCAUCUAUCACUCCCAUCGUUCCUGUACAUAAACACAGCUUCUGAAAAUGGAAACAAAAAGAGAAAAAGAGGAUAUCAUGUGAGAACACAAUGGGUUACAUUCAGAGACUUGCGUGGUGGUUAGAGAUGUCAAAUGGGCUGUCCAUGUCCACUGGACAUGUCCAAAUGGACAAAUCAGUUUAUUGGACAUUAUUUUUUUUAAGUCCAAAUUAUACCAAGUUCAAAUUGUCCAGACCAAAUUGGACCAUUCCAAAUGGGCAUUCCGCGGAGUCCAAUUAAAAAAUCAGUGUUAACAUACAAAAAUUCAUAUUUAAUAUAUUAUUAUGUGUUGUAGAAUUCAAAAGCAUAGAUACGAUUUUGGCGAGAAAUCUCGAUUUACGGUUUUGGAGGAAAAUCUCGAUUUUACGGUUUUGGCGGGAAAUCUCGAUUUUAUAGUUUUGGCGAGAAAUCUUGAUUUUACGGUUUUGGCGGAAAAUCUCGAUUUUACGGUUUUGACAGAAAAGUAUAUCUACAGUUUUGGCGGAAAAUCUCGAUUUUACAGUUUUGGCGAAAAAAUCUCGAUUUAUGGAUUUGGCGGGAAAACUCGAUUUAUGGUUUUGGCGAAAAAACUUGAAAAUUCAAUUUUACGGUUUUGGCGGAAAAACUAGAUUUACAGUUUUGGCGGGAAAUUUCGAUUUUACGGUUUUGGCGGAAAACGAGAUUUUACGGGUUUAACGUAAAAAUGUGAUUUUACGGUUUUGGCAAGAAAACGUUAUUCCACGGUUUUAACGGGAAAAUAUGAUUUACGGUUUUGACGGAAAACAUGAUUUUUACUCAAAUACAUUAACCCUAAAUAUUUUAAAAUUUUGGGCCGUCCAUGUCCAUCUGGAUUUGUCCAUUUGGAUAUGGGUGUAUUUGGGCCUCGUCCAUUUGCACAAAACAAAAUUAUGGUCAAAUAUGGGUAUGUCCAUAUUGGUUUGGACAUGGGCUACCCAUGGACAGCAUGCCCAUUUGACAUCCCUAGUGGUGGUACAUUGAUCAGAACUCAGAAGAGAACACCAUCGUCUUGGCGUCUUUCUGCCUUCAUUGUUGUUUGUUAUUUGUGUGUCAGACAUCCUUUUUCUUUUGUCCAUGAUUCUUAUAUGGAUUAUUAGUACGUAGUGUUAUUAUUCAAGUAAAGUUGUUUGGGGUAUAUGAGUGAGACAGUUUUUUUUUGUUGGGAGAACGAACCAUGCUGCUCCUGGCCUUCCCAAUGUGAUAUAUAUACAGUAGUGUGUUGUAUUUGGUAUAAGUUCCAAUUAUUCAGAGUGAUAAUAUAUAUUAUCAUCAUGAUAAGGUAUCACUUGGCUUGUCAUCUUUUCGAAACAGGAAAGUGAAUCAUUAAUUAAAGUGCAGGGAAGGAAAUGUCAACAAGCGAAGAGAUCACGAAAGCAAAAAAGCCCUAAACAUUCCCUGUGAAAGUUUUCUAAGGAAGCAAAUUCAAAAAAUGCAACAUAAAAGGAUUUAAUUGAAUCGACAUUUAUAUUAAAGAACAUACAUGUAUACAAAACACAUGACAUAUACAACCAUAAGGAUUUGAUGCAGCUUUUCUGAAUCUUGGAACCAUACUACUACUACUACUUUACCUCGAAGUUGCACAAUGUGCAAUAUAGAAGAGCCUCUUCGUUGUUUCCCUGUUGUUCAGACCUCUCUUCCUUCUUUCCCUGUCGUCUUCGAGAACAAACAUGCAAUAGAAGAUAGCUAGAGGCUUGUAGCAAGAUUUGUAGGAACCUGAAACUCGUUAAAUUUGCAAACAUCCAUGCAUGUGUGCAAUUUGGUAUUCGGUUAUAUGGUUUUAUCCUAAGAUUCAAGUUGCUAAACCUCGUCUCUAUCUCUUAUUAGAUUUGGAAGUAGAUACAGCUUGAAAAAGCAUUUAUAAACAUGACACCGGAGAGUAAAGGCGGAUCAAAAUGUAUUUCCCAAAUGCUUCCUCCGACAAAAGUUGCACAGAAAGCAUAGUCAGCGACCACCACCACCAACAUGCAAAACACUGUAUUAUUACUUUAGGACUAAUUCUGAUAAACAAAUUAGCUAUAUGUUUUAGUUUUAGCCUAGUUUCGAUUUGUUUUUCAUAAAACUUAAUUUAGUUCUCCGAAAUAGCAGAUUUUGAAAAUUACACAUACAAUACACACAUUUACAAACCUGUUAGAAAUUUUCCACCACUAUAAAUUUUACACAUUCACAGGCUUUUGUUAGUCUUGAACCUGAAAAAGAAUUGAAAACCUUUUGCUAGUGUCAUAUACAAGCUAAAUACCACUAUACUAGGUUAUGAUAUCUAAAGUAUACAAACUAAAUAAUAGAUAUUAUUGUAAAUAAAAAACAUAAGCUAAAAUAUUGAAACAAGUAGAAUCUUUAAUCGUUCGUGGACCAACCAUAUAAAAGCCUAACUCUAGAACUAGAAGACGCCUACUUUAUAGACCAUAGUAUAUAUUCAUUCAUAAUGCCAUUAGUCACGCUUCAUCUAAAUUACCAAGUCAGUCUUGGCACGCGCAACGCGUGCGCAGUGGAGAAGAUAUGGAACACUCACACACACACACGGAUUUUUUUAACGGAGAGAGACAGAGAGAAACCCUAGACACCAAAGAAAAAAAGAAAAAAAAAAGGAAUCGUGCCUCCUCCUCCUCCUCCUCCUCCUCCGCCCACUCGCCCCCUCAGAUCGCGUGAACAUCACAAACCAUUUUCUCUCCUCCUUCCCUCUCUCUCUCUCUCUCUCUCUAUCAUCCAUCCUCCCUUCCGCAGAUCGAAACGCCAACUCGCACCGAUUAGCGCGUGCCUCCUCAUCGCGACGAGAUUACAGCUUAUUGCUCUCGAUUUUCCUCUUCGUUCCAGGUGAUUCCAUCUCAUCUUCGUUACAGUGAAAAAACCACCACGGAUUCUAUAUAUAUAUAUAUAUAUAGUGUUCGAUUUCAUUGAGAAUUUUCUGAUUAAUCUAGUAGUUGCAGGAAGUGAUGGACAUAGAUCUUCGACUACAUUCAGGCGACCUCUGCAAAGAAGGCGACGACGAAGAACACAGAGGACUUGACAACGAAGACAUAGACAUUAGCAAAAUCGAGGAUGACGUCACCGUUGAGCCACACACCGAUAACAACGGCAUCACUCUUCCAGAGCACAACACACAACAACAACAACAACAAGGCGUGAAUCUUGAACCGCUUAACGGCAUGGAGUUCAACUCGCACGGCGAGGCGUACACCUUCUACCAAGAGUACUCUCGAACCAUCGGCUUCAACACUGCUAUACAGAACAGUCGCAGGUCGAAAACCACUAGAGAGUUUAUCGACGCCAAGUUCGCUUGCUCUAGGUACGGUACUAAACGGGAGUACGACAAGUCUUUCAACAGGCCGAGAGCUAGACAGAGCAAGCAGGAUCAUCCUGAGAACAACAUGUCUGGUCGGAGGACGUGCGCGAAGACUGACUGUAAAGCGAGUAUGCAUGUUAAGAGGAAGCCUGAUGGGAAGUGGGUGAUUCACAGCUUUGUGAGGGAUCAUAACCACGAGCUUUUGCCUGCUCAAGCUGUGAGCGAGCAGACGAGGAAGAUCUACGCUGCCAUGGCUAAGCAGUUCGCUGAGUACAAGACUGUCAUCAGCUUGAAGAGUGAGUCCAAAACUUCUUUUGAGAAAGGUCGGAGUUUGUCUGUGGAGACUGGGGAUUUCAAGCUUCUCCUUGAGUUCUUGUCGCGGAUGCAGAUUCUGAACUCCAACUUCUUCUACGCGGUGGAUCUUGGUGAUGAUCAGCGUGUGAAGAAUGUGUUUUGGGUGGAUGCCAAGAGCAGGGUUAACUAUGGCAGUUUUUGUGAUGUUGUUUCUCUUGAUACUACCUACGUGAGAAACAAGUACAAGAUGCCACUUGCUAUUUUUGUUGGUGUGAACCAGCACUACCAGUAUAUGGUCCUUGGGUGUGCUUUACUAUCUGACGAGAGCGCAGCUACAUUCUCUUGGCUAAUGGAGACUUGGCUGAGAGCGAUGGGUGGACAAGCUCCAAAGGUUUUGAUCACUGAGCAAGAUCCUGUGUUGAACUCCAUUGUCCCUGAGGUCUUCCCUAAUACACAGCAUUGCCUUUUUCUUUGGCAUGUGUUGAUUAAGGUCUCUGAGAAUCUUGGUCAAGUCGCUAAGCAACAUGAGAAUUUUACAGCGAAGUUUGAGAAGUGCAUCUAUAAAUCAUGGAAGGAGGAAGACUUUGCGAGGAGAUGGUGGAAGAUUCUUGCUAGAUUCGGUCUCAAAGACGAUCAAUGGAUGCAGUCUUUAUAUGAAGACCGAAGGAAAUGGGCACCGACCUACAUGACCGAUGUUCUUUUGGCAGGGAUGUCUACGUCUCUGAGAGCUGACAGUGUUAAUGCUUUCUUCGACAAGUACUUGCACAAGAAGACGAGCGUACAGGAGUUUGUGAAACUGUAUGAUACGAUUUUGCAAGAUAGAUUUGAAGAAGAAGCCAAAGCUGAUUCGGAAACAUGGAACAAGCCACCAACAAUGAAGUCCCCAUCGCCAUUUGAGAAGAGUGUUUCCGACGUCUAUACUCCUGCUGUAUUCAAAAAGUUCCAGAUCGAAGUUUUGGGUGCAAUCGCGUGUAGUCCCAGGGAGGAGAACCGAGAUGCAACGUGCUCUACUUUUAGAGUUCAGGAUUUUGAAAACAAUCAGGACUUCGUGGUUACAUGGAGCCAAGCAAAGGCUGAAGUCUCUUGCAUGUGUCGGUUAUUUGAGUAUAAAGGCUAUCUCUGCAGACACACGCUUAACGUUCUCCAGUGUUGUCAUCUUUCUUCCAUCCCCUCUCAGUACAUAUUGAAACGGUGGACCAAAGAUGCAAGAAGCCAGCAUUUUCCAGGAGAACCUCAGCAGUUGCAGACGAGGCUCCAGAGGUAUAAUGAUUUGUGCCAGAGAGCUUUAAAGCUGAGUGAAGAGGCAUCCAUCUCUCAAGAGAGUUACAAUAUUGCCUUCCUUGCUAUUGAAGAAGCUUUGGGAAACUGUGCUGGUGUUAAUACUUCCGGCAGAAGUCUUCCAGAUGUGGUCGCUUCGCCAACACAAGGUCUGAUAUCCGUCGAGGAGGAUAAUCAGAGCAGAAGUGCAGUCAAGACGACGAGCAAGAAAAAGAAUCCAACUAAGAAAAGAAAAGUAAACUUCUUGUUCAUGAUCUCUCUGUACAUGCACAACUUAAGGUUUUUCUUAGCUUUGCGCUUUUAUGAAUUGCAAGUCUUAUGAUCCUCCUGACUAUGGAUUGCAGGUGAACUCAGAGCAGGAGGUAAUUCCAGUUACAGCGCCAGAAAGCUUGCAACAGAUGGUCUGUCUUUGUUAACAUGUAGUAGCAAGACUCUGUUAAACUAGAGAGAGUCCCCUAAGUAUAUGAUAUCUGAAUUUUGUAAUUUGCAGGAUAAGUUAAGUCCAAGGACAGUUGGCUUAGAAAGUUAUUAUGGAACACAGCAAAGCGUGCAAAAUCUGGUAACUAAGCACAAAUUACUUGUUAUUAUUCUCUUAUAGACUGAGAUUUUUGUUUGUAAUGUGGUCUGAUUAUAUGUGUGUUUACAGGUCCAGCUGAACUUAAUGGCGCCAAAUCGCGAUAACUUUUAUGGGAAUCAACAAACAAUCCAAGGAUUGGUAUGAAAACAAAAUCGCGAUAACUAAGCUUCUGUUGUUUUUUUCUAUCAUUAACUUUGGAUAAAAACAAAAAAAUCCCCGGCUGGUUUUUUGUAGCGACAGUUGAACUCAAUAGCACCAAGCUACGACAGUUACUACACUGCUCAGCAAGGCAUCCAUGGACAGGUACCUUACCUUAUUCUCAGAGCUUUUACUCGACUGCAAAACCUAUUAAAAAAAUGAUCACUCUUUACUUUUGUUCUUUCUAGGGAGUAGAUUUCUUCCGUCCUCCCAACUUUACUUACGAUAUCCGGGUAAAUUUUCAGUUCUAGUAACAUAUUUGCAUCUCUAGUGGUGAAUUUUUGUUCAUGAAAACAAAUGUUUAUUACUGUACAGGAUGAUCCUAAUGUGAGGACGACACAGUUGCAUGAGGACGCGUCUAGACACACUUAAACCAGGCUAAAACCUAACCAUGGUUCAAAUCUUAAAGAGAGUCCGUCCCUCUGUAGACAAAAAGCCAACAAGCACUUGGAAGAUGAAGCUCAUAUCUCGAUCUGGUUUUGGAAACAGAACAAGGAGCACUUCUUGUUUUAUCGGCUCAAGUGUUUAAAUAGGAUAUGUUGUAUUGUUUCGGUUAUAAAGAUACCGCUUCUGUUAAUAUUUGGUCAGUGUGUGUAUUAUUAGUUCUUGAUGAUCCCCAAAAAAGCUUUUGAUCAUUGAUUGUUCGAAUUUAGAGGAGGGGGAAACAUUUGUUUAGAGGAUAUUUAUCUAUUUAUAAACUCUUGUUAAUUCUUUUCAUCAAGUUUCUUAUAUUUGCAUCAGAUUAUUCCCUGAUCUUAAGCCACAGUAUGGUCUGUUGUUUUGCUCUUUCAUCCUCGUACAAUAUCUAAGACAAUCCUCAGCCUAUUUCUAUUCUUUUUAUAUUUUUCUUCUAGAAUAAAACAAAACUAGGUGUUUUGUCCGCGAUGCGAACUUAGACAUUUUCAUAAUUUUUGAAAAGUUCUUUGUACAAUAUAUUCAUUAUACUAAAAUAAAUCUUAAAAUAAUUUAAUAUUAUAUUUUUAAUUAUAUAAUUUAAAAAAUAUAUUUGAUUAAUAUUUAAUUAUAUCAUUUAUGUUUUAACUUUUUACUAAAAUACUUUUUCAGAUAACAAUACAAUAUAUAUAUAUAUAUAUAUAUUAUUUUUUUUUUAAUUAUAUUUUUGGAUUUUGGAUAAUUCAAUAUUCUAUUUUAAUUAUAUAAUCAAGAAUUUUAUUUGAUUAGUAUUUAGUUAUAUAAUUCAUGUUUUUAACUUUUUAUAUAUAAUUCAUGUUUUUAACUUUUUACUAAAAGACUUUUUCAGAUAAUAAUACAAUAUAUACAGAAAUUAUCUCUUUUUAAAAUUAUAUUUUCAGAUUUUGGAUAAUUCUUACUAUUAUUAAUUUUAAUCAAUUAUCUAAUCAAAUAAAUUAAAAUUUCAUUUUUAUUUUUUCAUUUAGUUAUACAUUUUAUUCAUUAAGGGUAUAAACGAUUAAUCAAUAUUUAGUUAUAUAAUUCAUGUUUUUAACUUUUUAUAUAUAAUUCAUGUUUUUAACUUUUUUACUGAAAGACUUUUUCAGAUAACAAUACAAUAUAUACAUAAAUUAUCUUUGUUUAAAUUAUAUUUUCAGAUUUUGUAUAAUUUUUACUAUUAUUAAUUUUAAUCAAUUAUCUAAUCAAAUAAAUUAAAUUUUUGUUUUUAUUUUUUUAAUAGAUUUACACAUUUUAUUCAUUAAGGGUAUAAACGAUAUUAACCAUUCUAACUUUUAACGUGAGAGCUUGAUUCUAACUUCGCAAAUAAUAGUAUAAAUUAUUAUAGAGGUAGAUUUACUCUAAUGUAUGCUUCUAAAAUAGAAUUUUUAUUUAUAUUUUUCAAAACAAAAUAUAAAAAAAUAUUAUUUUCAUCUAUAUAAAACUACUAUUGUUUUGUAUUUUACUCUAUAAAUAGAGAAAUUCUAUUAUAACGUUAUACAUUCAAAGGAUCAUCACCUUAGAAGAGAUGAUGAGAAAAUGGUUUAAGCUCGAGCAUCACAUUCUUUUAUUCAUUUUCGUAGAGUUGACAUACAUAGCAUCUGUAAAUGGUUUCAAGUUUGAUCAAUAAAUUUGAUAUUCAAUUAAAAAAAAAAUUAUACAUUCGAAUAAAGUCAUCUUUAUAAUAGAGUUUUUUAUUUUAUGAGAAAAUAUAAAAAUAUAUACCGGUGUUGCUCUUAUAACGUGCUCAUAUGAGCAGUGUGAUGAGUGUUUUGCCCAGAAAGUCUAACAGAUAAUAUUUGAUUUUGGUAAGUUGUCAGAUUACUGGUUGACACAAAAAAUAUUUAAAAACUAAAAACCUCGUUGUAACAUAGUGUUUAAAACUAUCAAUUUAGUUAAAAAUAGAAAAACAUACAUUCCAAAAACGAAAAAAAUGAAAAUAUAAAUUUAAUUCACAUAUUAGAUUUAGUAAUCAUUACACAUAGUAAAUUCUGUGGUUUUCUAAACUUAUUUAAUGAACAACACUCCUAAACAAAUAAUGAUUCAUAUUAGUCCCCAUAAAGUAUAUAUUAAAUGUGUGAAUUGAUGCAAAGUUCUAACAAAAGAGAACGAUGAUUUAGUUCCCCAUAUUACAUAUCACACGUCAGGAUUUGGUUUUGUUUGAAAAUUCUGACUAGUUUCAUGUCUGAUCUUUGGUCGUAACUUGUUUUACAUUCAUUCUAAGUCACCUUACCCCGUCAAUUAAUUUAUGCCCACUCAUUCCUUAAUCAACUGCGUAAAUUAAAUAAUAUGUACACCUAUGGUCCUAUCAAUUAUCAAAAGACUAGUGUCUUAAGUAUCACUAGAUUUUCACCCGUGCAACCGCACGGAUGUUUGUUUUCACUUUUCUAUACAUAAAUUAUUGUUUUAGAACAUAAGUGGUAUAUAUUUUUAAUGUUAAUCAUAUACUUAAAUAUUUAUAUAACUAUUUCAAAUACGAUAAUUUUAUAAUUUACAUGUUAUAAUUAAUUAAUUGUUUAAACCUUAUGUAUUUGUCACUUCUUAUUAUAUAUUUAUCUUAUUGUAUUUGCAUUUAGUUAUUAAGCAAAUUAAUAUAUUCAUGAGAAAAUAUAUUUAAAAAAUAUUUUGUAUUUAAUUUAUGCUAAAUUCUGAUCCGUAUUUCAAAACUGGAUUUCUUUUUACCAAUAUUUUUAUGCUUAUUCAUUUUAGAUAAUUUAUUAUUGUAUAUAUAAAAGUGUAAAAUAUGUUAAUUUUUAGACAAGUAUUAUAUAGUUUUUUAAUUUUAAGUCGUUCUAUCAUUAUAUUAUAUUUUAAAUAAAUAGUUUAUAUUUAUGAAAACAAAAUUUAUAAAUUUAUCAAUUGAAUAUAAUUUUAUCAUAUUUAGUUUAGUAUAAUACUUAUAUUUUAACAUGAUCAUGACUAUAAAAGUAGAUAAAAUAGGAUAUAAUUUAUUUAUUUUCAUUUCUAAACAAUAACUUAAAAUACAUUAAGUUAUUGUUUAAAUAUUACACAGAUUUAUUAGAAUUUUUAAAAUAUAAUAUAUAAAUAUAUAUUAUAUUUAAAAUGAAAAUAUAUUAUGAUUAAAGUAGUUACAAAGAUUUUUUAUUAUUAACUUUAAAGAAAUACAUGUUAAUUUUUAUACAUGUAUUAUAUAGUUUGAUAAUAUUAAUCCAUCUUACCAACAUAUUAGAUUUUAUUUUUGAACAUAAAUAUUUUAUAAUUACGAAAAUAAAAUAUAUAAAUAUAUAAAUUUAAUACAAUUUUAUUAUAUUUAGCUCAAUAUAAUAAUUUUAAUUUAAUAUGAUUGAUUAUGAUUAUAUAAUAACUAAAAUAUUAUAGAUUUUUUUAUUUUUCAUUUUAUAUAACUGAAUAUAUUAAUGUAUAAUAAUAUUUUAAACUAAUUUUGAAAUUAGUGAAAAUAUUUAAAUAUAAUUUCAAAAAUGAAGAUCUUGUAAAAAUCUUUUUAAACAGAUUUGUUAUAAUUUUAAAAUAAAUAUAUUUAUAUUUAAAAUGAAAAGAUAUCAAAAGAUACUGUGAUUAAAAUAUUUCAAAAAUUAUAUUUAUUAUUAGUCUGAAUUAAAAUAUAGUAUGAAUUUGGGGUUUUUGCCAAAAUUAACCUACAACUUGAUUUUAAACCCAAACCUAUACCCAAACUUGAAUCAAAUGCAAAACUAACCUAAAAACCUAGUGAAAUUACAACUCAGCCCCUUGUGACCAAACAAAAAAACAGAAGCCAUUUUUACGAAUAUAGCCCCAGUAAAUCGUCUGAGUCGUCUGAAUUGUUGGAAGUCGUCUGGACGACUGAAGUUUAAGUCGUCUGGUACCAGUUUAUUUUAAAAAUAAUUUUUAAAUCUUGUAAAAAAAUAUUUUGAUGCGUGAAAAAUAAAAAUCAGAUGAUUAUAAACAGUUUUAAGUGAUAUAAAUUAAGAUAUGAUAAAAUUGAUUUGUUUUGAAGAUAGAUGAGUGGAAGUAGUGAAUCAUGAUAUUCUUUGGUUUAUGAGUUUGGCAAACAUAUGUUGUAGUAUUGUAUGUAUUGUUAGGGUUAGAUCUUGGAAAACUAAAAUGUUUUUUUCAAAAAUUAGUUUUCAUCUAUAUGUGUUUCUUUAUGUGUAUAGUAAACACUUUUCAACUUUGAUUUGAUUUUAUGAAGUGUUUAAUUAGGGGUUAUGUUUAGGGUGUGGACGACUUAUAUUUCAGUCGUCUGUUGAAUAAUUUACACGGACGACGUAUAUUUCAGUCGUCCACAUCGUACCGAACCUUUAAUUUUACCAAUGUACGUUUUAACCUAACCGGAUCAUUUACCGGACAUAUAAAAGCUAUUUUUUCACUAUUUCACAACUUUUCGAAACCCUAGCGCAGUUUCUCUCCAACGGCGAUUUCGAAGGCGAUAAGACGAAAACCCUACCGUGGUCGUGUUCCGCCGUUAUCUUCGCCGGUAAUCUCUCCGAUUACGACGAAUCUCGUUUCUCCUUCAUGCCGUAGAGUAUUUUCGUAGUUUAAACUGACCGUCCGCUUCCUUUUUUUCAGAUCUGAAAUCUCGUUUGCCAAACUCCGCCGCCGGUAUGUUAUUUCUCAUGUAUUAAGGCGUUUAGCCGCCGGAAAACCCUAAAUAUUUUAGUAUUGAUUCUUCUUUUCCCUUCGAUUUGCAGAUCUGUAACGGCUUGGGACCACAUCUUCUCCGACCAUAUCUUCUCGGACAAUAUAUUCUCCAACUGUAAGUCAUUCGUCUUUUGUUUAAAAGAUUUUGAGAUUGUUGUAGUCUUUUGCUGAAAGAUUACUCAGACGACUUCCAGGAAGUGAGAAGACUACUUGGACGACUUCCAUGAAGUCUUCUACGAUGUCUUACUCUCUGGACGACUUACAUGUAAGUCGUCUAGAGAGUAAGACAUCGUAGAAGACUUCAUGGAAGUCGUCCAAGUAGUCUUCUCACUUCCUGGAAGUCGUCUGAGUAGUCUUCUCACUUCAUGGAAGCCGUCUGCAAGUCUUCUAUAGCAUUUAGCAUAGUGCGCAACCUAUGUGUUUGAGAUGGUUGUUUGUGAUUAUUUGCAGGCCUUAAAAUGGAUUUACGAGAACUCCCGCCGAGGAUGUUUACAUUAGGAGAAGAGCCCGAUGCAAUCAAGAGCAUUUCGUAUCAAUCUGAUGACACAAAGUUGUUUAAAGCUCUAUGUGAUUGUCUCACACCUGACGAAUUUGAGGAUCUGAAGGCGUCGAAGUUAGGAGUGUUCAUCAAAUUCAAGGAGCUUGACUUUGGUUGGACUUCAAGGCUGGUACAUUUUUUGCUCUGUUUCCAGCUAGACAUCAAGAAGAAGUUUGAGCUCUGGAGUCUUGUCGUUUCACAACCUGUGAGGUUUUCACUGAUAGAGUUUGAACACCUCACUGGGCUGAACUGCGAUUACAUCAAGGACCUGGAAAAUCCAAGAUGUGAGGUUACAACGGAGAUGGCUGCUUUCUGGGAGAAGAUGCAUGUUGAUAUCGAUACUGGGCCAAGUAUUGAACAGAUAACAGAAGCAUUUUACAACUGCGACGAGUGGUCUCGGGAUGAUCGCAUGCGGCUGGGAUACCUUGCCAUCUACGCAGGAUAUAUCGAAGGGAAAAAGUUCUCAUCCGCUACAUCAGCUAGUCUUGCAAGGCUAGUGAUGGAUUUAGAAAAAAUUGAGAAUUAUCCAUGGGGGAGAGUGGCGUUUAAGGUGCUGAUGGAUUCUCUGAAGGCAAACGACUUGACGCAAACUGGUUACACUGUUGAUGGGUUCAUACAAGUGCUCCAAGUGUUGGCGUACUAUGCUAUGCCAGAAUUGGGUGCUAAUUAUGGGUCUCCCAUACCAAACAGACCGUCUCCACUGUUGCUGGCUUACAAGGGUGGCAAAAGACAACGCAAAUGUUUUAAGGCUGCUAUCAAUAAACAGGUACUUAACUUCACUCCUAAGACUUCUCAGACGACUUAAAGUUAAGUCGUGUGGAAGUCUUCCAACAAAAGACCACGCAGACGACUUACUUUUAAGUCGUCUGAGUGGUCUUUUUGUUGGAAGACUUUCAGACGACUUAACUUUAAGUCGUCUGUGAACAAAAUACUUCUCAGACGACUUAACUUUAAGUAGUCUGUGAACAAAAUACUUCUCAGACGACUUAACUUUAAGUAGUCUGAGAACAAAAUACUUCUCAGACGACUUAACUAAGUUUAUAUCUUUUAUUUAUUGCAGACUAUCGUGAAGAACUUCGUUCAGAAGGAUUUUGAUGAAAUGUUUCCAAAAUGGGACGGAGACAUAGAUGACCCUGCCGCGGAUAACAUAAUUAAAGUCAUGUUUAAUGAUCCUGGAUGGGAGUGGACCAUGGAAUGCUGGCCAGUCACCGGUACUCGCAAGGUUGUGAAGAUGGAAGUGAUUCCAGUGAAGAAUGAAGUGAGUCCCGUGAAGUCAGAGAGUGUUGUGAAGGAAGAAAGUAGCAGACCUCGGAAGAAAGCUCGUAAAGGGUCUUCUGUUUCUGCUGAGACACCUGCGGCGGGUAGUGAAGGGAUGACGCAUCAGCAGAUUGAAAAGUCCUUGAAGGACAUAUCUGAUACCAUUAAUCUUGGCUUUGGGACGUGCCUUAAGGAGCUCAAGUUACUGGCGGAUAGGAUGGUAGCUGUGGAGAAGAAGGUGGGAAUCACCAACAGAGGGGGUUUAUCUGAUGAUCGUCAACUUACAACCACUUCAAAUCCACCAAAACUUGUUGACGAACCCGGGGUUAGUACCAAAACCUCUCCCAAAAUUGCAGAGAAGAGAGUCACUAGGCAAAGUGUUAGGAAGAGUCAGGACUGAUGUGAUUUGUUUCUUGUGUGCUUUGAUGAACAUGUGUGCUUUGUUUCUAGUGUGCUUUGAUGAACCACUGUAUGCCUUGAUUCUGAACAUGUGUGCUUUGUUUCUAGUGUGAAUUUGAUCUUUGCUGUAAGGGCUUUUGUUAAUAGUUUUUAAACACACUGUGAACUCGAAAUUGCAGAGUGAAAGCGUGAAUGGGGCGAAAGCAGGACAGAAGGAAGCCAAAGAACCGAGUUCCUCGAGAGAGCUCUGUCUUGUGAGUCCUGCAGACGACUUACCGAGUGAUGAUCCUAGCCUUCUUAUAUUGGACAAACAAGUUUCGACCGCUUCAGAUUUACUCGUUGAAGAAGCUAGAAGGCAGACAAAGAAGGAGACUGCUUUGGUGAAUCUCCGUAAAAAAAGUGUGCGAGAAAGGAAGCUUGCUCCCACACAGCAAACUCCUUUUAAGGGAAACAGCACUGCCAAACAGAUCAUUCCAAACAAACAGGUUGGCGGAGGCUAUGAUCCUUUUGCACCCAUUGACAAGAUGAAGUCGAAGGAGCUCACUGCAUGGGUGCAAAAAGAUCCGUAAGUUGCUGUUAAAAAUAUGCUUACUUAUAUUUGAUUAAAAAAAGCUUCUAUUUGAUUAUUUACAUUUUGUGUUUGCAGUUCUUAUAAACUGCCUCUGAAAAAAAAACCACGUAGAUGUCGAAGUCGAUUCUAUCAGGUCCUCCGAACCCCCUUAGAAUGGCUAACCGACCAUGUAAGUCUUCUGCUAUUUUCUAACUCUUAUAUAAGUCGUCUGGUAGUUAUCUGGUACUUUUCUGAUUUGUAUAAGUCGUAUGUGAGUCGUCUGUGAGUCGUCUAUAAGUCGUCUGGUAGUUAUCUUAUGUAAGUCGUCUGUAAGUCGUCUGUAAGUCGUCUCUAAGUCGUCUCUAAGUCGUCUGUAAGUCGUCUGGUAGUUAUCUUACGUAAGUCGUCUGUAAGUCGUCUCUAAGUCUUCUCUAAGUCGUCUCUAAGUCGUCUGUAAGUCGUCUGGUAGUUAUCUUACGUAAGUCGUUUGUAAGUCGUCUGUAAGUCUUCUCUAAGUCGUCUCUAAGUCGUCUCUAAGUCGUCUGUAAGUCGUCUGGUAGUUAUCUUACGUAAGUCGUCUGUAAGUCGUCUCUAAGUCUUCUCUAAGUCGUCUCUAAGUCGUCUGUAAGUCGUCUGUAAGUCGUCUGUAAGUUUUUUUGACUUGUAUUGUUUUAUAUGCAGCAAAUGGAUGCUUUUAUUAAUAUACUGAGGCAACGGUACCAAAACCAUCCAGAACAUUUCAGGAGCGACAGAAUGUGCUUUCUUGAUCAUGUCUUUUCUCGGCAGUGGAGGGCCUCCUACCCUGAUUUUAAGAGCGACGCUCCUGAUGCCAACGGUUUAGGAAGAAGACUCCCUGGUGGGGCGUGGAAUUAUCAUGCAGGCGUGAUACCUUCUUUUUGCCAAUCUAAGAAGGUUUGGGGGGGUGGAUGUGGAUGAUAUCUAUGCACCUGUGAACUUCAAGAACCAGCAUUGGAUUGCUAUAUGGAUAUCGAUCCCUAAGAGGCACAUCGUCGUCUGGGACAGCAUUGUCUCUCAUAUUAGCCCUGAAGAACUCGAUGAGGUAAUGGAGCCUUUUCUCACAAUGGUCCCUUAUCUGCUUGUUGAGUGCGCGCUCUCUGACGAACAAAAGGUUCAAUACACAUUGGAGCCAUACACAUAUGCGAGACAAACCGUUGGAGUACCUCAGUGCCGAGCUGGUGAUUGUGGCCCUUUCACUCUGAAGUACAUCGAAUGUCAUGCUCUUGGGAUAGAAUUUCCCACCGCGUUUGACAAAAAACACGGGAAGACCAUCAGGGAGAAGAUGGCGCUGGAUAUAUUUCGAGAGCUUUCUAUGUGCCAUGAAUGGGAAAACCAAGACAAUGAUGAGAACCUGGCAACGUAUGAUUAGAUAUUGGAUGUGUUAUUGUGUGCUGUUGCGAUUGUAUUUGAACUUGAUGCUUUUGUGUACUGUUGUUAGGUAGAUUAGGGGAUGUUAACAGGGUCAGGAUAGGAUGAUGUUUUUUUGUAACCUAUCCUCACACCAAACUAGAAUUCCGUAGGAAAUUAGUUUGGUAGUGCAGUAACCUUUCGGAAUAUGUAAUGUUUAACUUGUCUUUUUUAAAUUGCACUGUUGGAAUUAGUUUCGGAAUAUGUACUGCUUAACAUAGAAGGUCUACAAAGAAAAGUUCAUAAAACAUAUAAAUUCAUAACAUAGAGUCUACAGAGAAGUUCAUAAAACAUAGAAAAUCAUUGUGGACGACUACAGAGAAGUUCAUAAAACAUAGAAAAUCAUUGGACGACUUACUUAAAGGUCUUCUGGACGACUACAGAGAAGUUCAUAAAACAUAGAAAAUCAUUGGACGACUUACUUAAAGGUCUUCUGGACGACUAACCAGAAGAAAAUUCUAAUUAAGACGUUGGACGACUAACUUAAAGGUCUUCUGAACGACUAACCAGAAGAAAAUUCUAAUUAAGACGUUGGACGACUAACCAGAAGGUCUUCUGGACGACUUACCAGAAGAAAAUUCUAGUUAAGUGAUAUUACGUGUAUACGCACACCAAAUAACCUAAUGUGCACACUACCACAAUCGAAUGGUAUGUCGAUGUAGCACUUUAGGAUCGAAUCCACAGAGACCAACUAUUACACUUUAUCUUUAUGGGAUCAAUAUCAAGCUAAAACAAUAUGGGGGUUUUAAAGUUGAUUUCGUAACAAGCAAGUAAAAAGAUUAAUUAAAGAUUUCAGAUGAUUAAAAUGCUAGCCUAGGGUGGUUUGGUCGGGUGUUAAACAAGUGUGAGCCAAACAAUUAUUCAAGUUUAAUUAAGAGCAAGUCUAGAACUCGGAUCACUCAAGUAGAACAGCCCACUGUCGUGGAACUGCCCCCUAUGCUGAUCGAUCUUGAUACCUAAACUCUCGUUUGGAUCAAGAUGCGACAGCAAGCAAUAGAGAUCAAGUCCGAUAGGUUCACCAAACACCCUAAUAUCUACUUUCGCUGAUUAGGGAUGCUAGGCUCAUUCAUAACAGAUCUAGCAACCUAUUACACGGUUAAUGAACAGGUUAAACCUAGGAUCUAACAUUAAGCGGCCAGAUUAAUGCAAGCAUUAAGAACAGUUAUGAAUGAAGACAAUCAAUGGUUUCACUUAUCUAUGUUUAACUCACGGAUCUAACACCCGAACACCCUAGACUAAGCAAGUUGACUACUCAGCCAUGAACAGAGAAAACACAGAGAUCAAUUCUGAAUAAGACUUCAUGUAAAUAAAAGAGAUAGAAAGAGGGUUCAGGAUAAUCUUCUCUAUGGUGAGAGAGAUGGAGCCUUCUCCCUUUACAAUCCAAAAGCACAAAAGUCUCCAAUGGUUUUCUUCUGUCUAGAAUAGCGUAGAAUGAUAAAGAGAAACAGAAAAUAUGAUAUAUCAAAGCCACAGGCGGCUGGGAGAGAAAAUAUGGAUAAUUAGGGCAAAUCCCGUAAUGAUUGUAGUUUCCUAAAAAAUCUCUGCCGCUGGAACACUCACUCGGAACAGUCAUCAAGACUGUUCUGCGUGAAAACCACCAAAUUGCAUUGUUUUCUGCCUCUUUUGUUCCAGCUGAUCCAUCUCCCAUCCAAUGCAACUCCAGACCUGUAAUGACUCCAAAAGGACUAGGAAGACUCGAUAAAGACUUGAAAACCAAUUUAAAAGCAUAUAUACAAGAUGUAUAAAACACCAUAUAUCAAUUCCCCCAGACUUAGAUCCUUGUUUGUCCUCAAACAAUGUCAAGUAUCAAGAACAGGGAGAAAGGUUUGAAAGUGUGGGAACUCUCCUAUUCUCAGCAACCAUACUUUAACCACGAAUCUCUGAACCAUACAAGCAGUAAAACUAGGACAACACACCCUUACCGGAACCCCACUGACUGCUGUUCAAAAAUCGGCUCCAUACUCUUCAUCUCAAACCUGAAAAAGCAACACUAUCGAGACAGAACUCCCUACAUUCAUUUAAGAGUAGCGUGAGCUUCUCAUCACAGGCAUCAUUCAGGGUAGACGGUCUAGGUGUGGAACAGGCUAUUUAAUGGUGGAGUUAAGAGUGUUUAGGGGCUACCAUUUCAUUGAAGAGGAUGCAGGAUAUCACACAAAAUGGCAAGAGAGGAUAGAUCCAUUGAUGUCCACAGCCUCUACUCGUUUUUGCUCUAUCUGGUGCGACUGUUCUGAUGACGGAACAGGCAACUGAUUGUUCUGCUUUCCACUUUCCUCUACACACUCUUCAAUACUUGGUACCAACUUCUUGCUCGACCUUUCCAGUGGCUCCAUGUUUCUUUUCUUUCUUCCCCUUCUCCAUCACAUUAAUCUCGUUUUUUUUUUUUUUUUUUUUUUUUUGAAGACUGAUAUGGUGAUGUGACGAAGAAGGAGGUAACACAUGAUCGUUCUGAGUGCCACUGGUGGUUCUGAUUUCGCGACCAUUCUGGUUCUCCACCCCUGCUCUUGCGCAGUUCAUUGGUUAUGGAGCGGUUGCUCCCUUAAUCUGCUUGUUCUCCUUUCUGACAUAAUUUCUGCAGCAGUAACGAGUAGGAGGCUGCGUUGAUCCUUUCCUCUCCGACCUUUUUGCACAUAUCUGCACAUAUGACACUGAAAAACAAAUGCAUGAAGGUGGAAUAAAGGCUAAGGUGCAGGGUGGGAACUAGCUAAAGAUGAGCUAGCCACUCAGGAUCAGCAAGAUGGAUAAAAAGGAUAAGAAGUCCUGAGUGUGUUCUCGUUUCCCUGAUCUAAUGCCCAUAACAAGAAGAAUUUCAGUCAAGAUUAGGUUCAAGUAAGGUGGAGUUAAGUCUACCCAGUGUAACCUGAUCGGCUGAGAACUUCUGGAGAAUCAAGUGAGAUAUGUCAGGGUGUUCCAGGUCCACAUGUGUGUCUUUCGCCACUGCUAAGGUCACUGAAUAAGAUAACUAAAGCACGAGGUGGUUAGUGAUCAACACGGAAUAAGGUCCUAAUUCCCACAAAAUUUUGACUGACUCAAUAAAAACUGACUCGAAUUGACCCAAAAGAAAAACAAAAGAAAGAAACGAGUUAGUAAACGACGAAAACCCUCCCCCAGACUUACUUCACAACGUCCCUGGUGUGAAAAUAAAUCAGAGAGAAGGUGAAAUCAAGAAUAAACAUUUUUUUUUUUGUUCGAGAUACUUACCUGGCGCGGAGCAGCCUGACAGAGCAAGACGCGGUUGCUCCGGUAAAGGAUGCUAUGGAAUGAGAACAGCCAGCUGCUUGCUCCAGUCAAGGGUCUCGGAUUUUCUGAUUUGUGACCUGAGACUCAACAAACUAAAAACAAAAAUAAGUAAAAAGAAAAUCCUAAUGUUAAUGACACUCACCAGUGGGUUGCCUCCCACCAAGCGCUUGGUUUAAGUCUCUAGCUUGACUUGGUGACUGGGAUCAGUCGGGUUGAGCAGGAGGGCUUGUUCCAAAACAAGCUCCACAAUCAGACAUGUUCAGCUUCAAAACUCUGCUCAACAACCCUUUCACAGCAGCUUUCCCUUUCUCCUUCAGCUCAUGUGUGAGAAUAGCUCUGACUUUAGAGAAAGGUUUAGAGGUACCCUUGCACUUUACCUCAUACUCAAUGGAGUUCUCAUCACACUUGAGAGGUAUCAAAGUCAUUGUAGGAUCUCCCUUGAUCCUUUUCUUCUGGACUUUCUGUUUCACCCUUGAAUUCCCUCUGAAUUUAGUAGGAUCAGUGCUAGGAUCUUCAUCAGAGAACAGCCUGCUCUCACCCUUAUCACCAUGCUCCUUCUCUGGAACAACCUUCAGCUUUUCUACAUCAAACACUGAGAUGCGAGAGGCGUGUGAUGAGGAAGAUCUGGUGGGUACAGCCUUGUAGAAAACUUUCUUGUUGAUGUUGGAGAAGCAGACUCUCUUGUUGGGCAUAUCGAUGGUUGCUCCAACAGUAGCCAUGAAUGUCCUUCCAAAUAUCAAAGGCAUCUCAUGAUCCUUGUUCAUCUCAACAACUUGAAACUCAGCAGGAACAAUGCAUUCCCCUACUUGAACAUGAAGGCUGCGGAUGGUUCCAUAUGGGACUGCUCUGGAAGAGUUUGCAAAGGUCAGGGUCAGCUGAGAACGCUCAACAUCAGCAAUACCCAAAUCGUCUACAAUAGCCUUUGAGACGAGAUUCACACAAGAACCAGAGUCACACAGAGCAUCCUUGAAGGUUGUUCCUGCGAUGGAGCAUGGGAAAACAAACUUUCCAGGAUCAUCAACCUUAGGCAAUACCUUCAAUGCUGGUGUAGACAGUGCUUUGAUAUAGAGGACCUUGAUCUCCUCUUGAGUCUCUCUACAGUGUUUAAAGAACUGGAGCAAUGGACGAAUCUGCAGAGCAUCUUCGAAUGCAAGUUCUUUAGGAAGCCUUCUCACCAUCUUGUUAAAACCUAUCAGCUGCUCUUCACUAAUGGGAUCCAUCAGAUGUCUAGGUGGAAUUGGAUAGGGAACCUUGGGAACAUAGACUCGAGAUGGUGGAGUCUCAGCAGGUUCGCUAGGAGCAGUCACUCCAGAGCUAGCAGACUGCUCUGCUCUCUCUUCUGCGCCUGAAGCAGUCUCAGCAAACGGCUGCUCUAUUGCAUUACAGUGCUCAGUCCUAGGAUUUUUAUCAGUUCUUCCAGGAAGCGUCUCUUGUUGCCUCUUGACACUCUCAACUGUUUGAGCAAGCUGAACAUCGAUCUUUCUUAUAUGGAUCGCAAGAUUGUCAUACUUGUUAUUCAGCUCAGUGAACAUGUUGCCCAUCCUGGUGUCUAUUUCCGUGGUUACCUGAUUCAACGCCUUGGCCUGAACCUGCUGACCCUGCAACAGCUGUUGCAUCAUCAUACCCAGACCCUUCAGCUCAUCUGGUUGACUGUUCCCGGUAGCUGGAACAGCAUGCGGAUUGCUCUGCGGUUGUCGCUGGUUCUGGUUCUGAAUAUGCCCGGCCGUAGGUUGUUCCAUGCUGAAAACGUGCCCUUGGUUGUUUUUCAGUAGCUGAUCAACCUUGGCAGUCAGCUCAUCUAUUUUCUGGGCGUCAGAACUGUUUCCUUUCUUGGAGCAAUCACUCUCCUCUUUCUUAUUAGCUGAGCUAGCAGCCAUGUUCUCAAUCAGCUUAAACGCUCCAGCUGUGGUUUGAGUCAUGAAAUCUCCAUUGCUCGCAGAGUUUAGAGCACCUUGGUAUUUCCAGUCCACUCCAUCAUAGAAAAUGUCCAGGAUAUAAUCAUCAUCAAAUCCAUGGUGAGGACAUUCUCUGCGAUAGUCAUUGAAGCGCUCCCAUGCGUCGCAGAAAGCUCAUCAGUGAGCUGUCUGAAGGAGGUGAUCUUGUUCCUCAAUGCAGCUGUUCUCGCCUUAGAGUAGAAAUGGCUGAGGAACGCUGAUCGGACCUGUUCCCAUGAAGUGAGAGAGCCGGUAGGGAGAGAGUUCAACCACCGUGCAGCUUUUCCAUCAAGAGAGAAUGGGAAUAACAUGCACGUGAUGUAGUCUGGUGGAACACCAUUCACGCGAGUGAAACUGCAGACUUUUUCGAAGCUCUCAAUAUGCUCCAUUGGAAUUUCUGUAGAGAGACCAGAGAACACCUUUCUCUGUACUAGACCAAUCAAAGCAGGCUUGAUCUCGAAGUCCUGCCUGGUGCAAGGUGGAGGAACAAUGGCAGAGCGCGUAGUAGGGAUGUUACGCGGAAGGUUUCUCUGCCCGAUUGGAACAGUCUGCGCCUGUUGUUCCUGCUGCGCGAGAGCAGCCUGUUCAGCAGCAUCCUGCUGAGCUUGGAUGGUCUGCUGCAUUUGUUGCAUCUGCUGCUGCAUGUGCAACUGAGCAGCGAGAUCUCCUGAUUGGCGUGAUCACCCAUAGUGGUGUCAGUUUGCCUUGGCUGUUGACGAUUUGUUCUUUCUAACCUUGCUAGCUCCUGGUUGGUAAAUGUAACUAACUCUCCUUGUGCGUUUCUCCGAGUAUGUCUACUGGUCAUGCACCUGGAACAUUAGCUGCAACAAAAAGGAUAAGGCAAGUUAGAGGUCUUAGACUAAAUAAAUAACCGAAAAAUAAAGGUAAAAAGAUGGUCCCCGGCAACGGCGCCAAUUUGAUAUUACGUGUAUACGCACACCAAAUAACCUAAUGUGCACACUACCACAAUCGAAUGGUAUGUCGAUGUAGCACUUUAGGAUCGAAUCCACAGAGACCAACUAUUACACUUUAUCUUUAUGGGAUCAAUAUCAAGCUAAAACAAUAUGGGGGUUUUAAAGUUGAUUUCGUAACAAGCAAGUAAAAAGAUUAAUUAAAGAUUUCAGAUGAUUAAAAUGCUAGCCUAGGGUGGUUUGGUCGGGUGUUAAACAAGUGUGAGCCAAACAAUUAUUCAAGUUUAAUUAAGAGCAAGUCUAGAACUCGGAUCACUCAAGUAGAACAGCCCACUGUCGUGGUACUGCUCCCUAUGCUGAUCGAUCUUGAUACCUAAACUCUCGUUUGGAUCAAGAUGCGACAGCAAGCAAUAGAGAUCAAGUCCGAUAGGUUCACCAAACACCCUAAUAUCUACUUUCGCUGAUUAGGGAUGCUAGGCUCAUUCAUAACAGAUCUAGCAACCUAUUACACGGUUAAUGAACAGGUUAAACCUAGGAUCUAACAUUAAGCGGCCAGAUUAAUGCAAGCAUUAAGAACAGUUAUGAAUGAAGACAAUCAAUGGUUUCACUUAUCUAUGUUUAACUCACGGAUCUAACACCCGAACACCCUAGACUAAACAAGUUGACUACUCAGCCAUGAACAGAGAAAACACAGAGAUCAAUUCUGAAUAAGACUUCAUGUAAAUAAAAGAGAUAGAAAGAGGGUUCAGGAUAAUCUUCUCUAUGGUGAGAGAGAUGGAGCUUUCUCCCUUUACAAUCCAAAAGCACAAAAGUCUCCAAUGGUUUUCUUCUGUCUAGAAUAGCGUAGUAUGAUAAAGAGAAACAGAAAAUAUGAUAUAUCAAAGCCACAGGCGGCUGGGAGAGAAAAUAUGGAUAACUAGGGCAAAUCCCGUAAUGAUUGUAGUUUCCUAAAAAAUCUCUGCCGCUGGAACACUCACUCGGAACAGUCAUCAAGACUGUUCUGCGUGAAAACCACCAAAUUGCAUUGUUUUCUGCCUCUUUUGUUCCAGCUGAUCCAUCUCCCAUCAAAUGCAACUCCAGACCUGUAAUGACUCCAAAAGGACUAGGAAGACUCGAUAAAGACUUGAAAACUAAUUUAAAAGCAUAUAUACAAGAUGUAUAAAACACCAUAUAUCAUUAAGACGUUGGACGACUUACUUAAAGGUCUUCUGGACGACUUACUUAAAGGUCUUCCACGUCAGUUCUUACAUUGUGGACGCUUAUGGCCAGUUUCUUUGCAGACUGAGCACCUAUAAACCAUGUGUUGCUUCCGGGGUUUGCGUCCUCUCAUCCUGGAUAGCUCCAACCAAGAUUGCCAUCUUGAUUUCUUCUGUCUCCCCGGACCACGCUUUACUUCCGGAGGAAAGGAUGUGCUUGCCUCAACAAGUUGUCCAACACAAGGAUAUAUAUUCUCUGAGUAUCCUGCAAACAAAGUAUCCUUUGAGUAGACCGGCCACACAAGUGUGGAGAUAUGCACACCAGCUGCUGUUCCAGCUGCUAUAGCAUGAGAGCAAGGUAUUUUCUCGACUUGAUAGACACCACAAUCGCACUUUUGAAGUUCCAGAUCAACAUUACAGUCCCUAUUGCCACCUUUCACAAAGAACUUCCAUCCAUCAAUUUGUUGGACUCUCAGAGUAUACGCGUUCUCCUCUCGGACAGCAAGCAAGUGUUCAACACCCCGACUAUGUUGAGUUGUAAGACUCAAAGCAUCUCCUCUCCUUUUCCAGUACCACCUUCCUAGCUUCUCCCUUAUGAACUCCAGCAGGAACUGAAUAGGAAAUCCUCUUGCUCGCUUCAGUGCGGAGUUAAUUGAUUCAGCGAUAUUGCUCGUUUUUAAGUUGUACCUGUCUCCCUAACAAUGAACCCUAGACCAUAGGGUCACAUCGGCUUCCUCCAGAUACUCAGCAAGAUCCGGAUUUGCACUUCGUAUCUCAUCCAUGUACCGAUCAAAAUCGUAAAGUGUAUGAGCAUAAGCAGCACCUUUCACUAAGUACAAGAGAUGCUUCCCUUUAUACUUUUUGACAAUAUUCUCUUGAAGGUGAUAAUAACAUAUUCCUCGGGUUGCCCAAGGAAACACCUUUUCACACGCAUUUAUAAUGGAGGCGUGCCUGUCGGAGACUAUCACCAGAGGAUACUCAUCAGAUACACAGCUCGCCAAUUUUGUGAAAAACCAUUCCCAAGAUUCAUCAUUCUCACCAUCUACGAUCCCAAAAGCCAAUGGAUAUAUCUGAAAAUUACCGUCUUGUGCGGCUGCAACCAACAUAGUACCCCCAUACUUCCCACUUAGGUGAGUCCCAUCUACCACAAUGACCCUUCUCUGAUACUUAAAUCUUCUGAUUGAAGCUCCAAAAGCAAGAAAUAGAUACUUAAAUCUAUUCAGAGAAUCAAGUUCUAUAGCUGUGAUAGAACCCGGAUUUGCUGCCUCGAUUUGCUCCAAAUAUGAAGGCAAUCGCUCAUACCCGUCUUCCGCUGAUCCUCUCACCAUUUCUUGCGCAUAUAACAAUGCUCUGUAUGAAGUGGUGUAAUCAAGUGUCAUGCCAAACAUGUUCUUCAUUGCAUCUUUGAUAUGCUGCGGAUUCAACCCAUCAAUGAUUCUAACUCGAUCUAUGAAAAGUCGACCAAUGUACUUCGGAGUACAACGUUUCCGCUGAGCGAUUCUGUCUGGGAUGGAACAUGUAUGAGUUGCCAAAUACUUGGUUACCCAAAACGUUUUAGUCCCAUGUUUCACACUUGCUCGGACCUUCCAUUGACAACCACUAACACGACAUGUUGCCACAAACAGAGUUUUCGUUGACUUGAAUAUUCUGAAGGAGAACCUACGCCUCACCGCUGUCGACCGCAACUCUGAAAGCAGUGCAUCCUUACUAGCAAAACUCUGGUUGACAUAGAUUCUGUCUGCAGAUGAUCCUUCUCCUUCACAACCAUAUGCCCCUUUGUAAUCAUCAAAACAGAUUUCAUCAUCUUCUUCCUCAUCCUCAUCUUUAACAUUUCCAUACUCACUAUAAUCCUCAGCAUCAGCGACAACAGGGAUGUCAGCAUCCUCCUCCCCAUCAUGAUCCUCAGCUUCAUCCCCCUCUUCAGCUUCAUGCCCCUCCUCAGCUUCUUCCCCCUCCUCAGCUUCAUCCCCCUCUUCAUCUUCAUCGCUUACAUCAGCUUCAUCCCUCUCCUCAGCUUCAUCCCCCUCCUCAGCUUCAUCCUCCACAUGAUCUUCAUCCCUUUCCUCUGAAACCGUUCUCAUCUUGCUAAAGCUUGAUACACAAAGACGUACUUCAUGCGUUUUAGUUAUCUCGAGCAAGUUCCGAACUUGUCUAUCACUUGUAACAUGAAUAGGAGGAAGGUCUGGAGCCAUCUGUUGUAAUGAGUAGAUUAGCUCCACAGACUCUGUGUUCAUGUCCAGGUUAUAAUCUUCUUGAGUCAUUGCAACAAGAUCAGCAUGUGUCGAACCUUCAUUCAAAAAUAACAUUCUCGCUCCUUUGAAAUGAUCAACCACAAAAUUCCAACAUCCAUCUUUCAACAACCAUUGUCCAUACACUGCAUGUAACUGACGCAUCAUCUGAAAAAGUCAAAAUAAAACACAUUAGCAAACUUAGAACAAAGAAAACAAAAGUUUAUUAAAGAUCGAAGCGGACGACUUCAAUCUAAGUUGUCUAGACUACUAAACUAUACGUCGUCUGGUCAACGCAGAGGUUAUUUUUGCAAUUGAAUUUGAAAUCUGGCUGUCGACGACUUACCUGGAAGUCGUCUGGCUGUAGACGACUUAACUUUCAGUCGUCUCAGGUUACAGAUUUCAAAGUCAAUUGCAAAAAUAACCUCUGCGUUGACCAGACGACUUCUAGGUAAGUCGUCUACAGCCAGACGACUUCCAGGUAAGUCGUCGACAGCCAGACGACUUCCCAAGUAAGUCGUCUGACGAACAGAUCUGGAAAAAAACUCGAUUUCAUACCUUAAAUUGGUGAGAUAAGUUCCUUAGCAUACAUAAGGCUUCUCCAAGCACACAGAAUCACAAACGAAAGUGACCCACCCUGAAUCGUUAGCUUCUAUGACUCUAUGAACCAUAAAAAUUUUAGAAUCAAAAUCUUGGGUUUUCUUAGCUCAUUGUGGAGAGAAAGUGAAAGAUAUGUUGUGUUUAGUUCACAAGAAUGAAAAAAGAAGAAGGGUAAAUCGAUUUUGGGAGCAUUAAGAGCUUCAAAUUGGUUGUUCAUGGUGGUUGUGGUAUUGAUGACAAUGGCAAUCUUGUAAUUACUUGAAGAUGAUGAGGGUGAGAGAGUAAAAAUGUCAUUUUCGAAAAGAAAAAAAAAAUUGAUGGCAUUUUCGUAAAUUAUAUGAACUUGUGGAGUGAAUACGGCAAAACUAAUUUCAAAAAAAAAGGGAGGUUAGUUUUGUGUUUGACUUUAAGUUGUAGGUCAAUUUUGCAAAAACCCCUAUGAAUUUCUAUGAAUAGGUCUAUUAGGUUCAUUUUUAAAAAAAUCACAAAUGAAUCAAGGUUGUGACUUCUGUUUUAAUAUAUAAGAUAUAGGAAAGUUGUUUCUUUAUUUAGUCGCUCUUUUUUUAUUGGAUAAUCGACUAAUCGUUUUCGCUAAUUAAAACAGCCUAUAGGCUUCUCAUUACGCUAUAUAUUUGAACAACAUUGUCGGCAUAUUAUAAUUCUAUUACGUCUAACCUAUUUUAAAAAAUGAUAUAGUACUAUACUAUAUAACAAAAUCUCAUCGUUAUUAUCAUUAUCGUACAUCCGUCGUUAUUCAUUCGUGCUAUAUAAUACGGCUAUCGCACCAAGCAGGCAACGUGAUAUGAAAUAUAUUAACAUUUUGGUUAGGAAUAACGUAACAGAAAAAUAUGUCGUCAGCUAUGUGACGAUUAAGUAAAGUGAGGCACUUAUUUACUAAUUUAAUGAAAGAAUAUACACAGUAGAUUAGGCCAAUUUCGUCAACUUGUUGGGAAAGUAGCCAACAAACCCAAUACAAAACUAAAUUCUACUAGUUAGUUUCUUGGUAAAACUCAACUAAUCGUAACUUUACGCUGUUUUAUUAUUUUUUCCUAAAUCAUGAUAAUAUCGAAUAUGAUUAAAUCAUUUAGUUAUUAAAAAUAUUAAAUCAUGUUAAUAAAGUAAGUAUAUUAGUAUACUAUAUAUAUAUUUUUUAUUUUAGUUAGGAAAGAAAUGCUAAGCCACAGAAUCUAAUAUGUUUCCUAAAUCAACGGUCAUGAUUGAUUAAGAAUAGUCUUCCUUUUGACCAAGUCUAAUCACUAAACCUAAAUAAAUAAACAACAAACGAAGGCAAAUGCUGUUUUGUUACUUAUUACAAUCUCACACAGCCUUGAGACACAACACAAAAUGGCUAACUCAAACGAUUGGUCUCACCUCUACAGCAACAACCAAGCCUUCUACACAACUUCCACCAUCACUUCAACCGCCGUCACAACCACCACAGCAGCUUCUCCCUCCGGUGAAGCCACCUCCAUGGACUCUCGUCUUAGUCCAGAAACAGGCCGUGUAACCAAACCGGCACGUAGAAGAUCAAGAGCCUCACGUAGAACACCAACAACACUUCUCAACACGGACACAUCAAACUUCCGCGCCAUGGUUCAGCAGUUCACGGGCGGUCCAUCCGCUAUGUCUUUCGGGUCAGGUAAUACCACUUCCGGUUUUAGCCUCACCUCUUCGUCGGAUCCAUCCGCCGGAUCUUCCCAACAAGUUCCUUGGCAAUAUAGUUACCAGCCUCACGCGCCGCCUCCACCGCAACAGCCUUAUAUGUUCUCGUUAAACAACAUGAAUCCCGUCGUUGGGUAUAGUAACAUGAACAACCCUAAUACGAUGGUUCCUGGUGGUUUUGGAACCGCGGGCGGUGGAGGAGGAGGUUCUGCUCCGUCGUAUAAGGAAGCCACGAAUAGUAAUACGUCGUCUUCGAGACUGCAAUGAGAAAACGAUUGGAUUCUUUUGAAAUAUUUUUUUCUCCUUUUUCGCAUAAAGGCAGAAAUGUUAGGUACUGACUUUCUUUUGUCAUAGAAUGACAACUUUGACUGUUGUAUAUUUAAGUUUUUCGUUUUCAUAUUCAAGCUUUUUAUCUUUGUUUUAGGCGUUGAGCAUUUGUUUACAGCGUUAUCACUUAUCAUGGUCCUAAAUAAGCAAAUAUUCAAUGACUGAAGUUGCACACUUGCUUGCAUUCAAAAGAAAAACUCCAGUUUGGCAGUAAGCAAAAUAAAAUAACGUCUCCAAAUAAAUCUAUAUGUUUUUACGAGAAUACAUUAUCUGUUAUACUCCCUCUGUUUCAAAAUACAUGAAGUUUUAAGAUUAUACACAACUAUUAAAAAACUUGUUUUUUAUUUUAAAAAUAUCAUUAAAAUAUAAAUUAAAAAUUAUUUAACCAAUCACAAAACAGACUACAAAAUAUCAUUAGCUACACAGUUUUUGAUAAAGUGAAAAAAUACAUUGAUAUAUGAAAACAUCAUCUAUUUUGAAACAUCAAAAACUACCUAAAACAUCAUCUAUUUUGAAACGGAUGGAGAAUAAAUUAUUAUGGCAUCCAUAUUUUCUACUAGACUUAGGUAAACUAAAGCAAUGUUCUCGAACACUAAUAUAUCACGUAUAUAUAUUAUAUAUAUUAACGCUCUAUAUAUGUUAAAAACAUACUUUCACGUAAAGUUCUGAACUACAUGUGAAAAAUUGAAAUUUCUUCAAUAUUAUUCAAAUUAAUAGUAGUAUAUAUGUAUAACGUGCAUGUAAUGGAGGAAAUGUGAGAGAAAUAGCUUACAUCCAAUUUCUGUAUUCAUUUAUUGUAGGCAUUCAAACAUGAAAAUUAGUUAGUGUGAAUGUAGUUUUAUCUGCUUUGCCAAAUUAGCUCGAUAAAAUGCAAAAUAUGAAUAUAACUUUAUAUAACUUAUUUUAUAAAAUGUGCAUGGAAUGGAGGAUGCCUACAAUAAAUGAAUACAGAAAUUGGAUGGAGAAUGCCUACAAUAUAUGAUCCACUUAAGCUACAUUCAUUUACUUACACCCCAACGAUUGUAUUCUUAUUCGAUAAAACUGUAACUGUAAGUGAAUGUUCUUUUACCAAAUUGUAGCGAUAAUAUAGAAUAUGAAUAUAAGUUAAAACUUUAUAGUUUGCUUCUUUUUAUGGCACAAUAUAUUUUCUAUUGUCAUAUAACUUGUAGACGGAAAACGAUGACUAUCCUUUUCCAGUUCACAAUUUGAUUACUUUUUUCUUUGUCUUCAAUCACUAACUUUAUAAGAUUGUUGAAAUAUAUUUGAAGGAGAAUUUUCGCCAAGACCAGAAUAAUCUUUUAACAUUAAAAUAUGGUGAUGAUUAAUUGGAUCAUAUAGAAAUUAAACUUGCUUUUCGUUGGAAACAGAGGAAGCUUUUGGGUGAAGGUAGGCUACCAACAUUAACACACCUAGAUUCUUACGUUAUCGUUUAUUUUUCCUCUUUUAAUUUCUUCCCGCUCAUAUUAAUUAUGAUUUAGACUGAAAGUGAGAUGGAUCUUUUGAUUUAGAUCGAUGUUUUUGUUAAUAUAGAGUUUGGCCAAUAUACCAAAGCCAAACUCUAUACUUAUAGAAUGUCUUUAGUUUUUUUUCUUAGUCUUUUGCAUUUUUAAUAGAUUUUAGAUUCUUAAGAUAAAUCCAUAAAUUAAUAAGAGAAUAUUUCUAUCAUGUUGUAGACGUGUUUAUAUUUGACAAAUAAAAUAAUAUAAAAGGAAUUAACAAUGAAGAAUCUUAUUAAAAAAAAAGUAACAUCGACGAAGUGACAAAAAAAUUGAGUGAUAAAGGGGUUGUGAAGAGGGGAUGUAUCUAAUACGCAUUGUGGGUCCCUUAACCUCAAGUGAAAUUUCCUUUUCUUAACUGAAUUUGAAUUCAUUCAUCAAUUAUUAUACUAUACAACUAGGCAAUAAUCCGCACCUUGCGCGAAAUAUGAUUAUUAGUUUCGUUAUUUUUUAAUAAAGAGACAUUAAUCUAUUUAAUUUGAAUAUCGGUUCGGUUUUAGGUUGAUUUUUGGUUUUUAAUCUCCUAAAAUAUAACUAUCAUUUUAAAUCAAUAUUUAUUUUGUUUGUUCGGUUAAAAUGUUUGAUGUUUUUGGUUUUUUUUUCAUGUGAUAAUUAAAAAUUACUAUUAUUUGUUUGUUUUCAUGUUAUGAAACUUAGAUAGUCGUGAUGUCGAAUCAAUGGUUUCAUAUUAUAGUUUCUAAAUAGAUAAUAGUUCAAAAAGAAAAGAAAAUUGUUAAGACAAAUCAUUUUACUACAAUUUGGUCGAUAGGGAAAGAAGCCUUAAGAAAAAGAAUAUUUUAACUUCAAAAAAAAUUUAGAUAUUUCAGUUGUGGUAAAUAUUUAGUUAUAAAGUGCUCACGUCAAUGUGUCCAUGUAUGUGUAUGUAAAGGUAUAUAAAGAUGGUUGUUAAAUAUAUAAAGAUAAUGUUAAUUAAUAUUAAAUGAUAUUUUUUCAAAAUAAUACAUGAAAAAUAAAAUUCUUAAAAUGAAUUUAUUUAAAAAUAAAAAUACUGUAAAAUUUAUAUAAACUAUAAUAUAUAACUUAUAUAUAAUUCUUUAAAUAUAUGUAUAUAUAUAUAUAUGCAUAUAACAGAUCAAAUUAGAUAUUCGUUCCUAUAAAUACUGAUAUUUGUGGUUUGCUCUUUUUUUUACUGAUAUUGCAUUUUAGUAUUUAAUUUGCUUCGUACAGUAACGAAUAUCCAGAUUUUUCGGUUCAAAUCAAAAUUUUAUGAAUAAUUGUCUAGCUGUAUUCGUAAACAGUAAAAAUAACGUAAAGAAGAACCAUGCAUGUGAGUUUUAUAUUAAAAAAAUGUAAAGUACAUAGUGUGAACAUAUUUAUGUAGUGUUUGGCUGAGAAACUCUGUACAUGUAAUAUGUGUCCAUUUUAGUGUGAACACAUUUAUUACAAUGCUUCUACACGUGACAUGUGUCCAGUUUAGUGUAAAUGCAUUUAUUACAAUGCUUCUCUUUUAAUAUAUAACGGAUUAUACAAAACAUCUUAUUACGAUCCUCAAUCUUAUACUUUGGUAGAUUUUGAUGUUAUUUAUGAUUAAAUUAGCCAUCUUCUUUCAUACAUACUUAAAUAAAUGCGAUAAUCAAUUCUUUUGAACAAGUAGAUAUAAAGGGUGAUUUUAAAACACAAGAGGAAGCAUUUUUUUUUUGUCAUCAAACAAACAAACUCAUAUUAACUAUGUGAACCAAACUGGUAGCUCUGCAUCCAUGUGAACGACGAAAGACGAUUGUUUUCUUGCACUCUGUACUAGAUUAUCCGUCUUUUGAUUCUCCGUUCGGGGUACAUGAAUGAUCUCUGAGCUGAAGAAACAUGUCUUCAGCAUCUUUAUAUCUUCUAGAUAAUUUUCAAACGCCAGCUAUUCUUUUGGUUCCGAAACCAUCUUCACCAAUUGAGAACAAUCCAUAGCAAAUGUGACAUAAUAUUGAUGUAAAUUUCUCAUACACUCCAUCACCCAUAUUAACGCUUCCAUCUCCGAAUGGAGAGGUGAAAGACUUGCCCGAAUAUUCCUUGCACCCAACAAACCAUCAAAUCCCUCAAGAAUAUUAUACCAACCCUCGUCUGAAUAAUACUCUUUAUCUUUCCAAAAACCAUCUAUAAAGCACCAAGGACCUGUCCUCCUCGGACAGUGCCUAACCUCAACUUGUUGUGAUGGCUGCUGAAUAUUCUUCACCUGAGCCUCAGCCCAAAGUUUGGAUUCGGUCUCCGCAAGAUUAAGUGUAUCUCGUGGGUCCAUAUCCAAAUUACUAAAAACUUUGUUAUUCCUACCUUUUCAAAUGUACCAUAAUAUCCAUACAAAAUGAUGAUCUUCCCUCUCCGGGAUAACCCUCCAGAAAAAAUGAUCCAAAUUUAUGAAGAUAGAACUAGUAGGGAAAAGAUCUAGGUUUGACAGUAUCUUUGACAACGCCCAAACUUGACGCAUAGGAGGACAUUAAAAAAAUACAUUAUUUAUUGAUUCCUCAUCAGCUCCACAUCGAGCACAACAUAUAUCUCCUUGAAUUCUUCUCGCUUGCAAAUUCUUUUUUCACAGCCAUACAUCCUGAUACCAUCUAUCAUAGAAAAUGAUUUAUUUUCGGAGGGUAUCUCAAUCUCACCUUCCAACAAAACGCUUUUAAAAUAUCCACUGUAGGACCAUAGACCUACGGUGGUUUUGCCUUAUCCGGAUAGACCCGUUCUAGCUGGUAUCUUGAUUUAACCGAGUAUUUCCUAUUAGUUGUGAAAUGUCAUCCAUCACUAUCCAUCAUCUGGUUUCUACUCAGGAGUAUAAUUUUAAUAAUUUUAGCAUUUUAGGAGUCCACCAGAGCCCAAAUUUUUUGCGUAUUCCAAGUUAGUAAAACUGGAUCAAUGAAAAAGUCUACAAUAGGUAGCAUUGAAUUGGAAUAAACUAUCUACUAUUCUUUCACCUAACAGUUUUUUGUAGUAAUAUAGUUUAGAAAUGUAUUUAAUUGUAUAUAAAUAUAAAUAUAAUUAUAAAUAUAUAUAUAUAUAUCUUAUGAGUUUAUUGAGUGGUAGAUUAGUGGUUGAGUUGUAGUUUUUCUAGAUGGUCAUGUAAAUUUCAAACUCCAUCCAUAUGGUAAUGUAAUGAUAUUACAAAGUAAAAACCAAAAUAAAAACUCUCACUCAGAAGUUCCAGAGCAGUUUGAUUUUUGAAGUCGCACAUUGUCGGAGGAAGCUUGAAUAGUGAUAGAUAAGACAACUCAACUAGAAACUUCGCGAGAUCCAUUUGAAUCACCUCAUUCGUACAUAAAUAAACACUCAUUUUAUUCAAAAAUUCAGAUAUAAGGUUUAAGUUUAACCAGUGUUUAAUUGUUUAUAAUCACCUUCUGGUAACUAUCUUAUUAAAAGGAAAAUUUCAUAAUUACCCAACUAAAUUUCGUUAAAUUUUUUUAUAUCCAAACUUUUAUACUACAUAGUUUAAUACUUCAACUAAUUAUUUUGCUCAGUUUAAUACGCUUGCUUUUAAAACUAUGUUCAUUUUAAUACACAAACUAUGCUAAUUUUAAUAAUAAGUUUUAAACAAAACUUUAAAAAUCUUUAAAUUUCAAAAACAAAAUUUAUUACCUAUUUUCUUUUUUAAAUAACAUAUGUUUGGAUAAUCUUAAUUUUUAUAAUAUUAGUUUUAGUGCUAAUUUCAAUUUUUUUUAUUUUCUGAAGUUUAAAAUAAUUUAUUUAUUUUAUUCAUGAUUAUGGUUUUCUAAAUUUUAAAAUACUAUCUCGUUAGUUUUAUUCCUAAAAAAUUAAAAUAAAGAUUUUUAAAAUUUUAUUUAAAACUUAUUAAUAUCUUUGAUUAAAAUUAAUAUAGUUUGGGUAUUAAAAUAACACAUUUUUAAAAGUAAAUGUAUUAAAAUGUGCAAAAUAAUUACUUGAAGUAUUAAACGGGUAUCAAACUGUGUUGGGUAUUUAACUAAGAUGAGUAAACUUUACAACAUUUUUUAUUUUAUUUUUGUCAUGAAAGUAUCAUUCAUUGAUUAGGUUGUACCAUUGUCAAUAUUUUCUUGUCAACGUACCAAUGUCAAUUUGUAAAGUUGAUCACAAACAGACUAGAAACCAUCUACAAGAAAUAAGGAUUCAACUUUUGUGAAGUAUUAUUGUCAAUUUGUGAAGUUGAUCACAAACAAAUUAUGAAUCAUCUGCAAUAAGAAAUAAGGAUUCAACUUCGGAAAUUGUGUCAAUUUAUGAAGUUGAAUCUUUAUUUCUUCUUUCAGAUGGUUCAUAGUCCAUUUGGGAUUAAUAAGUCAGUUUGUGCUUUGUAUAAACAACUCAAAUCUAGAGUAUUUCGUUCAGUUUUUGUAUCUACAACAGCGGGUGAUGACGAUGACAAUGGCGAUGGCGAUGAAAAUCCAGAUGGGGAUGGGAUUCUUCCUAUUGAUGGGAGGAAGAAUAGAGGAAGACAAUUUACUGAUGAUGUCAAGACAAACAGUUGAUCAAAGCCAAAGUUGUUAGCUGUGAGGUCUGGAGACAAAUGGAAGGUUGAUUGAUAUUGUAACCCGUAUGUUAUCAUCUCUCGGGGGAUCAGUUGCUCAUGUUUAUCAGUAUGAUCAUAUCGUUCCCUGGUGAUAGUUGAUUACAACUUUUAAAGACACACUAAAUUUAUGAUGAAACAAACAAAAUUAACUAAUUAAAUCAUUUAUAAAUGUUUAAAAAAAUAUUUAUAGAAGCUUAUAAACUAACUCCACCUCUUAAAUACUAAAACCUAAACAAUAAUCAUAAAUCUUGAAUCCAAAUAUUAGAGUAUUUUUGAUUGAUCAUAUUUUUUUUCUUUUUUUGAGCAAAGAUUGAGCAUAUAUAUUUUUAAAAUAGUAGCCAACUUAGAAUAUUUCAAGAAAUUUCGCUUAAAAGUAUCAUAUUGGUGUAAAUAUAAAGACUAUCUAAUUAUAUAUGUAAUUAUACUGCUGAUUUUAUUUUAUAUAUUUAAAUUAGGAACUAAAUGGAGUGAAAUGGAGGGUUGGUAUGUUAUCAUCUCUCACGAGGAUCAGAUGCUCAUGUUUAUUAGUAUGAUCAUUUCAUUCUCUGGUCAAAAUCACAUGACUCAAGCCUGGAGAAUUGUCAGGUACUCCAAUCAAUGGUGAAUACUUGGAAUGACGCUUUAUUACAGCUAUAAAUUUGGUUUGUUAAGCUUUUAAACUCAUAUUCUCUGUUUUGGAAGAUAAAUUGUCUAUUUGAAUUUUAGGGUCUGCUGUAGCGAUGAUUCACAAACUCUCAACAAUGGGAUCAUCACAAGAUAAUCAAGAACAGAUAAAGUCGUCUAAAGUAGAUAAUCUUCUUCUUGCAUAGCUUACAUAAUUCAUCAAAGUUAGCUUUUUUUUUGUUUGUUUGUCAAACGAAUUGUCUUGUAACCUCUUGUUAUUUGUGUCUUUGUCUAGUAGAUAUGUUUCUUACUUUGUGAUUACAAAUUAAACUCGAGAGUUUAGAUUUUUUGGUCUCUCGUUUGCCUUUAUUUUGAAGAAGUGUGAAACUUAUGAUGGUCCACAAAACUAGUCAAAUAACACAAGCUACUGAUUGGGGUUUCAUGUGGGACAAACCCAAGUUGAAACCCUCCAAAACUUUUGUACUAUUUUAACAUCUCUGUUUUUUUUUUUUACUUAUUUUUUGGUUAAAAUUGAGACUUUAGGCAUAUAAUAAGAAAACUUUCAGUAGAGUAUCUCAACUUAAAAUAAAUAAAAAUAUAUUAUUGUUCGAUUAUGAAUAUUUCAAAACGAGAAAAACUCAAUCGAAAAUAUCACAAAACGGUGAAAAGUUCAGUCCAAAAUAUCUCAAAUAAUAUAUUUUGACUAAUUUCUCAUCACUCUAAGAUAUCUAAUGAUAUUAGAUCAUUAUUUUAUUUACUUUUUAGAACUACUAAUUUAUUAUAAAAUUUUUGCUCUAGAUCCAUUUCCAUUUUAGUUUUUAUCAUGAUAACUCAAACAUUAAAAUAACUAAAAUAAGAACUUGCUAGAUACUCACAAGAUACUAUGAAAAAUAAUUUGCAUAACAUUAUUGGUCAAAUUUUUUUAAAAAAAUAUUGAAAUUCAAUAGUUUUAUAUAAGUAAACUUAAAAUAACUGAAAUAAAAACUUGCUACAUAAUCACAAAAUACUACGAAAAUAUUUGGCAUUAUAUUAUUAGUCAUUUUCUUAGAAGUAUCUUGAAAUUUAAUAGUCUUAUAGUAAAAACUAUAUAAAGUAAUGAUAUUGGAAUUACGAAAUUUUAUUAUUUUUAGAGUUAUUAAUUUACAAAAAAUAUUUUUAUAUUUUAAAAUAUAUUUUUAAUAAAAUAAGAUAAAUUGUUUAUUUUGUCGUGUAUAUGUUAAUUAAAUUAUUAAAAUUAGACUUUUAUUAUUUUUGUUAUACUAUUUGGUGUAUACAAAAUAUGUUUCAUAGAAUUUAAAUGUAGUUUUUAGAUAUAAUUUGACCUAAUAUUUUCAAAAUAUAUUGAUGUGUUAAGAAAAAUAAAGUUCAAUUUCAUUGUGAAUGUAAAAUAAAUAAUACAAUGAUUUUUUUGUACAUAUAUAAACAUUGUAUGUAUGAAUUAUUAAUUUAUGAUUUUAAUGGAUUAUAUAGAUACAUUGAAUUUUCUAAAAAAAUAUAUUAUCUUAUUUUUUCGAUUUGUGUCAUAUUUUGAACCGGGCAAAUUCGAGACCGAAGAAAUUUAUUAAUUUACUAUGUUUGUAACUGAUCGAGUAUUAAUUUAUAGUAUUUGUACCGUAUAACUGAACUUAAAUAAAAUUAAAAAACACCGAAAGAAUAUCUUAAAGUGAAAACAAUCAUAAAACUAUAAUGUUUACAAGAGAUGAUGCGUAGUGAAGAUGAGAGAAAGGAAACUACAAUGGUUUUGUUUUAUUUAUUUAUAUACAUCAUUACAAGAGAUGAUCAGCUUGCAGUGGUACUUGUAUACAAAGAACAAAGUGUACAAGGCGAGGUAAAUAAUGGAUCUACAAUCUCACUUAAAUCGUCUUCCAAUGGCUUAGAACCUCCAUCUCCUGUCUGGCUGAAUAAUGUUUCUCUUCCAAUGAUGAACAACGAGUGUUUAUGACCAUAGAGAAUUGCUGCAAUGUUACCAACAAAUGAGAGUUUUGGGCGCUUACCCACCUUGAAUCAUCUCACUUCUUAACACAUCUUCUCUCCUUAUUCUGUGAGAGCUAAAAGAGUUACUAGCAUUCUACAUCACUCCUCUAAUUCCAAACUUGGGGUAACCAUAGGGAAUGUUGUCAGAUACGAAUCACCUCUCAUAUCUUUAGCCAAACCCUCAAUGACAUCAUAUAUCUCAUCACUCUGAGGAUGCUCUUGAUCUCUAGACACAAAACAAUUUACAUUACCUGCAACUUCAAUCCCACUACGACCAACUUCUUUCCUUAAACCCUUUUCUCUCAUUCCUCUCCUCAACCUAUCAACACUCGUCCAUUUCUGUUCCUCAGCAUACAUAUUCGAGAGCAAAACCUGAUAUCCUGAAAAGUUCUUCCCUUUAUCCACUUUAGCUAACUUCUCUGAAACAGUUUCAGCAAGCUCAAUCUCACCGUGUACUCUACAAGCUCCCAGGACCGAACCCCAUAGCUCAGCAAUGUUUCCUUCUUCACCAAGCCCUUUAACAAACUCGUAGGCUUCAUCAACGCGGCCUACUCUCCCUAACAUGUCUGUAACGCAGCAAUAGUGCUCAUUGGAAGGCUGGAUGUUAUAAACUUCACUCAUUUCCUCGAAUAUUUUGAGACCUUCAUCCACUAAACCGGAAUAGCUGCAAGCUGAUAAUACUGCAACAAAGGUGACAGCAUCUGGUUUGACUCCAGACUCUUCCAUUGAACGAAACAGCGAGAUAGCUCUCUCACCCAUUCCGUGUUGACCAUACCCCAAUAUCAUCGUGGUGUACGUCACAGAGUUUCUCUCUUUCGUUUGGUAAAACAUGUUUUCUGCGUACUGUAUCGCUCCUGACUUUGAGUACAUAUCAACUAACGCAGAAGCAACAAAUACGUUCUGAUCCAAGUACUGCCUUAUAGAGAAACCAUGUAGCUGUUUACCUAAGUCGAAACUACCUAUCUGGCUACACGCAGGGAGAAUCGACGCCACAGUUAUGGCAUUGGGUUUGAUAUUCUGUUCUAACAUCUUCCUGAACACAGCAAACGUUUCCUCUGUGUGUCCGUUCUGCGUGUACCCGGACAUCAUAGAGUUCCAAGUAGCUUGAUCUCUUUCAGCAUAGCCACUUCUCUCGAAAAGCUUCUCUGAGAUCCUUAUUAGACCUGACUUAGCAUACAUGUCAAUAAGGUAACUGUUCAUCCCCUCGAACUGAAUCCCUUGCCUUAAAAGGAAACCAUGAGUCUGCUUCCCAAUCUCCUUGUUUCUAAGAUUCGACGCAGCCGAAAGCAAAGCAGUCACUGUUAUGUAAUCGAUCUUAAACCCCUGCUUCUGCAUCUCAUACACCAACAUCAAUCCUUCAUCAUCUAAGCCGUUUUGGACAAACGCAGAGAUCAUUGUGUUCCACGUCACAACAUCUCUCUCUCGCAUCGAAACAAAGACCGCAAAGGACUCGUGCACAGAGCCGCACCUCGAGUACAUCACCAUCAACGAGUUGAAUAUCACAACGGGAAGCUCCUGAAAGUUCUUGCUGACAAAACCAUGAAACUGUCUACCUAACUCCACUUGCUGCAGCGCUGAAACUGCACUCGCUGCCAAGAGGAACGUUACUUCGUCAGACACAAUCUCUUUCGAUCCUAUUGCAUCAAGAAAAAGAUCGAUACUCUCAACCAGGUACUCGUUCUGAACAUAGACUCCUAUCAUUGUAUUCCACACCUCAAUAUUCCUCUCUACACAAGAAUCAAACACUCUCCGUGACGCUUCAAUAUCGCCAAGCUCCGCAUACAUAGAAAUAGCCGAGCUCACAACAAACAAGUCCUUCACAUACUCAUCUCCCAACUUAAGCAUCAAACCAUAAAAUACUUUAGCUCUCUUAACACUUCUCGAACUCGCCACCGCGGGGAAGACAUUCACAAAGCUAACCGGACUCGGUUUAAUCUCCAUCCUCAUCAUAAUCCCAAACUGCCUACACGCCUCAGCGUGUCUCUCCGUCUUCACAUACCAAGAAACCAACGUAUUCCACGCCACAACGUUCUUCCUACGCAUACUAUCAAAAACCUUACGCACCACGUCGUACUCGCUUCCAGGAGGAGGGUGGUUCAAGCAAGAAACGUACAUAUUCAACAGAGAGUUAUGAACAACCCUGCUCGAGUUCUGCAAGCACCGGAUCAAAUGGCAAUGCACGGCUUUACCAGCCUUCAGGUUCCUGGUCUCGGCGCAGGCCUUGAGCGUGGAGGAGUAAGUGUAAGGGUCGCAUUUGGUGAAAGGAGCGGUCUUUUUCAUCCGGGAGUAGAAAAGGAGAGCCUCGUGCGGGAGGUUGUUGCAGAUGAGGCCGAUGAUAAUGGUGUUCCAUAGGACGGUUGUUGGUUUGGGAAUUGCGUCGAACAGCUGGCGUGCGAGCUGUGGGUUUCCUUUUUGGCAGAUUCUGCUGAGGCGUGAGCGGAUUGAAGGUGUUUGGGGAGUUGGGUUUGUUGGUGGGGCGAAGGUGGAAGAGCGGCGGGUUUGGUUUGGCGGGGGAGAGUGGAACGAAAGUGGCGGUGGUGGUGGGAGAGGUAGAGCUGAUCCGGCCAUUGUGGAAGAGAUGAUGAAGAACGAAAUGAAGAUACGUUAUUGACUCUCUCUUCCGCUUAUGUUAUCAUCAUCUUUCUUCAGUGAUAAGAGUUUGUUUAUUAUCUAUUUUUUAUAAGAUAGAUUACCAUUUUUCAAAGUACACUAAAUUUGUGAUAAAAAAAAAUAAAAAAUAGACCAACUAAACUAUUUAUUAAUGUUUAAAAAAAUAUUGGGUAAAUAAUCCAUAUUUUCCCACCAAAAAUAUUGGGUAAGAAACUAUCAAUCUCGUCUUAAUUAUAUGUAUCUAUAUUAUUAAAAGAGAAGUACCCAUUUGAAAAUGUUUUUACUUCAUUAAUUAAACUUCCCUUUUUUUUGCUUGUCUUUUUCAGUUGCAUUUAUGAAAUAUCCUAAAACAAAUAAAACUGCCUAAUUGAUUACUUGUCUUUUCAGUUACAUUAAUGAAAUAUGCUUAAAUGAAUUUAAACUUCCUAUUUUAUUGUUUGUCUUUUUCAGUUACCUUAACGAAAUAUCCUUAAAUAAAUUUGGACAUAAUGUCAUUUAAUCAACCAAAAAAACUCAUGAGUUAUCCUUACGUGCAUAAUUUUAAUAAUGGAGAUUUUUAAAAAGAGAAAAUGACACAAAGAACACUAAAUGAAGUUUUCCUCCCCAAACUAGCACUCAGGAUCAGAAUUCACAAAAAUAGGUUUCAUUAAAUGGGCAAUUUACCCUUAUGCCCCCUUCUUUAACUAAUUUAAAAAACAAAUUUGAAAUCAAUUUGUCGCCGUCCUCGUUUCAUCGCUUCUUCUUCUCGUCUCUCCGUCGUCGUCGUCGUCGUCUCUCCGUCGUCGUCUCCCCGUCCUUGUCGUCGUCGUCGUCGUCGUCUCUCCGUCGUCGUCUUCGCCUCUCCGUUGAUCCGUCGUCGUCGUCUCUCCGUUUAUUUAUCGUCGUCGUCGUUUCUCAAUUGAUCUGUCGUUUCUACGUCUAUUCAUCUCAUUCUCUCUCUCGUGUGUCUGAUUUGAUUAAGGUUUGAAUCAUUUCAUUUUGUUAUACAUUAUCUAGGUUUUGUUAUAUAUUAUUCAUUUGUUGAUGAUUUGAAGUUGAUUUUGUAGAACAAUGGAAGUUUUGUGCAUCUGUGGACAAUGGAUCUCAAAAGAAUCUCUCCAGUGGGAGUUUCUUGUUGAUUUGAAGAGGAAUGCAUCAAUCAUUUCCAUAGAAGAAGAUCUACUGUAUGAAGAUUUGAUGAAGAUUGUCUCUGAAGAUUUUAGUGUUAAAGAGGAAGAAAUCAGUUUGAGUUAUGGUUUUUCAUUGGAUAUGAAAUGUAUUAUUGAAAGUUUCCCCCCACUCUCGAUAGGUAAUACUCGUCAGCUCAGAACUUUCAUUUCCAAGACUAGAGCAUUUGAUGGAACCUGUCGUUUGUGUGUUAAGGUUUGUAUGAUUUUUUCUUAGACUUUUCAGGAUAUGCUUCAUAACCAAGUAUUAUGCCUUACAGAACUACUUGACUUAUGCAGGUUAGUACUGAUCCAGUUAGCUGUAACACUCAAGCUUCUGAUACAUUUGCUUCUACUGUUCCAUUGAAUGCCAAUCCAGCGAUUCUUUCUACUGUGCAGAGUGAAAAACAGGUACAUUGUCCUUAAUUCCCUUUUUCUGUUUGUGUUUGCAUGAUAUGCUUCAUAAUCAAGUACUAUGCCUUACAGAACUACUUGACUUUUGCAGAGUCUUCUAUAUGAAGGUGUUUCUACAGUUCCUCUGAAUGCUCUUCCGGAUUUUAGUACUGAUUCAGCUAGCUGUAACAUUCAAGCUUCUGAUACAUUUGCUUCUACUGUUCCAUUGAAUGCCAAUCCAGUGAUUCUUCCUACUGUGCAGAGUGAAAAACAGGUACAUUGUCCCUAAUUCCCUUUUUCUGUUUGUGUUUGCAUGAUAUGCUUCAUAAUCAAGUAUUAUGCCUUACAGAACUACUUGACUUUUGCAGAGUUUUCUAUAUGAAGGUGUUUCUACAGUUCCUCUGAAUGCUCUUCCGGAUUUUAGCCCUGUCCAUAUUGGACUUUCACCAAACACGAGAGUAGCUGGCGAUAUUAAGGUGAAUAGCUAUUUUAAGACAAAGAGAGAGUUGAUGUUGAGGAUGAAGAAAUGGGCUUUAGAGUGGAAGUUUGAGUACAAGACUGUCUCUUCUAACAAGUCAAGAGUGCUUUUGAGUUGUGUUGAUGAAAAUUGCACGUGGAGGAUGCGUGCUAUCAAGCUACCUGUUUCAGAUUUUUUCGUUGUUAAAAAGUAUGUUCAUGAGCAUACAUGCGAUACAACACACAGGAAAGCCAACCACAGACAAGCAUCUGCAAAGUUGUUGGGUUCUUUGAUUUCCAGCAAUUAUGGAGAAAAAAAGGAAGGUCUCAAACCGAAACAGAUCAUUGAACAGGUCAGGAUGCUGCAUGGUGUUCACAUCAAUUACAAACAAGCUUGGAGAGUGAGAGAAGAAGCUCAGAUUUUGGUUAGAGGGACUCCUGAAGACAGCUAUUACAAUUUGUCUAGGUGGUUGUAUAAAAUCACAGAAACAAACCCUGGUUCCUUGACUUAUCAACAUGUUGAUGCUGCAGGAAAGUUCAAGUAUGCAUUUGUGGCUUUUGGUCCAUCGAUAAGGGGAUUUUCAUUGAUGAGGAGAGUUAUUGCAGUAGAUGGUACAUUUCUGAAGGGAAAAUUCAAUGGGACUUUAUUGGCAGCUUGUGCUCAAGAUGGGAAUUAUCAUCUAUAUCCUCUCGCCUUUGCAGUGGUUGACGCAGAAAACGGCGCCUCUUGGAAAUGGUUCUUUAGAGGUUUGAGCCAGAAGAUCCCGGACGCUUCGGAUCUUGUUUUUGUAUCAGACAGGGCUAACUCCAUUUCUUCAGCGUUGGAGGAUGUAUAUCCCUUAUCUCACCAUGGAAUUUGCAGGAUCCAUCUGCUCCGCAACAUCACUCCUACAUAUGCGAAGACUGGGUUGCUACCUCUGGUGGAAAGCGCUGCUGAUGCCUAUACGUGUCACGAGUUCUGGUUAAUCUUCAAGGACAUAAAGGAUAAAUGUCCUGAAUUGGCUAAGUAUCUGGAAGAGUCUGAUUUUAGGAAGUGGGCACGAAGCUAUGCGCCUGCGAACAGGUAUAAUAUCAUGACUACCAACAUUGCAGAGUCUCUCAAUUCUAUGUUGAAGAUGCCUCGUGAGUUGCCCAUUAUCUCUCUCCUUGAAACUAUCAGAUUGACGAUGACCACUUGGUUUUUUGAGCGACGCGAAGCGGCUGCGAAACAUAAGCACCUGGUUACUCCAAAAGUUGUUCAGAAAUUGGUAUCUAGGUUAGGGGCCGCAAUGUUGUUGAAUGUGUAUCAAGUUGAUCGAAGCGAGUUUGAGGUGAAGAAUGAAACAAUGAAGUUUGUUGUUGACUUGGAGAAGCGGCAUUGCACAUGUAAUGUUUUCGACAUUGACAAGAUCCCCUGCAUCCAUGCCAUCGCUGCUGCUAAGCAUAUCAAGAGAGAUGAAAACCGUUUUGUUGAUGCUUCUCACUUGACAGAAACGUGGGCUAAAGCUUAUGCUGAAAGCAUACAUCCUGGUGGAGAGUUGUCAACGUCCACCUAUCCAGAGAAUAUUGAUGAACUGUCUUGCCCACCUCCAGCUACCAAAAAGAAAAGUGGACGCCCUCCUACAAAGAGAAAGAGAUCCGUUGGCGAGUUUGGGGUUCCUGGAUCUAAAUCUCAGUCCCACAAGUGCAGCAGAUGUGGCACAGGAGGGCACAACAAGAUCACAUGCCAGAGGCCUAUAGGAUGAAGUUCUACAUUUUUACAUUUUUAUCGAUUAUUAUUUGGAUGUUUGGCUAUUUGAUGGUUACAUGAUAUGCACAAGACCAUAUACAUUUUUUCUUUUGGAACCCUAUCCUGAAUAAGUAUGAUUUCUUACAACUUUUGUAAUAUACAACAUUAUCUUUUGAUCUCAUUUCAAUUUUUAGUUUAAACUUCUUUGCUAGAAAAAAACACAGUAAUAUUCAACUAUUCUGGAAUCCCAUCCAACUUUUGUAACAUCCAACUUUUGUAAUAUACAAUGUAUUAUACUAUAAAUUGUAUGGGUAAAUUCAAUUAUGUGGAAGCAACUAACAGAUGAUUCUCCUCAGCCUAGCGGCUAAACCACGAAACCUAUGAUACCGAAACAUUUGAUCGACCCGGGUUCGACUCUCCUACGAGUAAUGGGUUUUUUUUUUUUUGUUCAAACAUAUAUCUCAGGAAUCACAUUUGUCGCAAUCGGAAGCCCAUCCUGAACUAUCAAAGAUCUUUCCAAUGUAUUAUACUAUAAAUUGUAUGGGUAAAUUCAAUUAUGUGGAAGCAACUAACAGAUGAUUCUCCUCAGCCUAGCGGCUAAACCACGAAACCUAUGAUACCGAAACAUUUGAUCGACCCGGGUUCGACUCUCCUACGAGUAAUGGGUGAUUUUUUUUUUUUGUUCAAACAUAUAUCUCAGGAAUCACAUUUGUCGCAAUCGGAAGCCCAUCCUGAACUAUCAAAGAUCUUUCCAAUGUAUUAUACUAUAAAUUGUAUGGGUAAAUUCAAUUAUGUGGAAGCAACUAACAGAUGAUUCUCCUCAGCCUAGCGGCUAAACCACGAAACCUAUGAUACCGAAACAUUUGAUCGACCCGGGUUCGACUCUCCUACGAGUAAUGGGUGAUUUUUUUUUUUUGUUCAAACAUAUAUCUCAGGAAUCGAAGAGUCUCUUCCAAACGAUAUCAUGUAACUCAGUAACCGAAGAGUUUCUUUUCGUCAAGAUUGGGUGUUAUAUGAUUGGUUAUUUCAGUAACUGACUUCAAUAAUCGAAGAGUUCCACAAUAAUCAAGAGUUUAUUUUAACUGACUUCAAUAAUCGAAGAGUUCCUUUUUGUUCUAUAAAUAUAAGGGACGAUAUCAGACCUUUUAUUCACUCACUUCAUUUCGCUUGAUAUAUCCUUUUGCAAUACAAGUUAGUUUUCGAUUUUUCUCAUUUUCCAUUCAAUUCAUGAACUUUUUUCUAUUUCUAUUUUAUCGUAACAUCUUAGUUUCGAUUUUGUUGCAGGACAAAGUUUCAAUGGAAGGAAGUUCAAAGAAGAUGAUGAAGCGUCCCAUAGAGGAGGUUUACGGAUGUGAUGCCGCCGAAGGUUUCAAGAAGGGGAAGAAGGAAACUGUGGAACAUUACAGGGCUCUUCUUCGUUUGUCCAACGAAUACAGGCUAUCUGAGAAUGAUUGGAAUCUUGCAUCCAGCAAAGCAAAUUCAAUUGCUGUCCAAAUCGAGUUGCUUGAAGAUAUUAUCAAAGCUGAUGGAAAAUUUGAUUUAACUGCUGAGUUGGAGAAACUCAAAGAAGAGCACUCGGAAGCGGAAGGAAUGCUUGCUGAUGUGAAGGUCAAAGUCCCUGAUUGGGAUAAACUUGGCGAAAGUUGGCUCCAUCAUGAGUAAUUUCAUGUUAUCGUCUUCUCUUUUUAUGUUUUUAAGGACCACAUUAUGUUUGAUUUUCAGUUUUUAUUUUAAAUGAAUAAGCACUUUUGUUUCUCUUGUGUUGUUUCUUCAAUUAACAACCUAAAUAAAAAACUUGUUCAAUGUUUUUCACUAUUUUGUAAUGGUUUGGCCUAGUGUUCUUAUAACUUGGUUAUCUGAUUUGCUUAUUUGUUUUUGGAAAGCCAUCCUGAAUACAUAAAAUGAUAUCCAGAUUAUAUAAAUCUAUCGUCUGUGAAUAAAUGAGUUCACAUUUACUCUGUUAUCGAAUAUCCAACGUAGCCUAGUGGCAAGCCCUUCUACUCUUAGUGUACCCUUAUCACACAAUAAGUCGUGUUCGAUCCCCGUUGUGUAUACUCACAUUUUUUUUGUUUUUAAUUAAAUAUUCAAACGUUAUUUUCGUUUUAUUGUAGCUUUUGGCAAGUAUAAGACCCUUGGUACAACGGCUGCACACUUGGAUUAAUCUAUCGAGAGUUCACGAGUUCAAUCAACAUCAGAUCACAUUCUUUUUCAUUUUUUUUUUGUAAACUUUAAAGGAAUUUGUUUUUGGAAAGCUAUCCUGAAUACUUAAAAUGAUAUCCAGAUCAUAUAAAUCUAUCGUCUGUGAAUAAAUAAGUUCACAUUUACUCUGAUAUCGAAUAUCCACCAUAGCCUAGUGGCAAGCCCUUCUACUCUUAGUGUACCCUUAUCACACAAUAAGCCGUGUUCGAUUCCCGUUGUGUAUAUUUUCACUUUUUUCUGUUUUUAAUUAAAUAUUCAAAAGUUACAAGUUAUUAUCGUUUUAUUAUAUCUUUUGGCAAGUAUAACACCCUUGGCACAGCGGCUGCACACUUUGAUUCAUCUUUCGAGAGUUCACGAGUUCAAUCAACAUCGGAUCACUUUCUUUUUCAUUUUUUUUGUAAACUUUAAAGGAAUAUGCUAGGCUUUGGUGCAUUUUGCUUUCUCACUCUUUUUCUGGAAACCCAUCCUAAAAGUACCAUAAGCAUUUGACAAUUCAUCAAUACAUCCUAAAAAUUUUUCAAUAACAAUCUAAAUGAAAAAAACGUUAGGGAUAAUUCAUUACAAACUUAAACUUAAACGUUAGGGAUAAUUAAUAUCAAAGUAGAAAAACAGUGUAGAAAACAGAACAAAUAUGACAUUUUCACUUCCUUUGACCUUCCUGGAAAUCUUUAUCCAUAAACUGGUCGAAGAUCUCACAACAUAGCUUGCUUCGUAAGUCCAUCGCAGUUUCAUCAUUUAUAUUAGCCAUGCUCUUCAAUCCCAGUGACCUGCAUUCCAGCAUCUUCACAACAAAAAUACCACAGUUGUAUGGAAAUUUUGUCUUUGGAAGCCCUUCUGCAAACUUAACUUCAAAUGGACUGAUAUCUUCGAAAUUAACCUCUUCACCAAGAAGUUCCAUCUUUAUGGCACUAAUCAACACUGUCAUAAAUACCCAAAAUUAUACAAUAAAUCAAUCACCAACAGACAACAAAAUGAAUAUGUAAAAAUGCAUCACAAUCACAAGCAGCAAGUGACAAACUUUUAUUUUCUAAAUUAGCUAAUAUUUUUACCUGCCAGUUCUUGGAUUUGAUUAAGAGCACGUUUGAUAUUUGCUUUUGGAAGACCACAAUGGAAGAGUGUGAUUGUGUUGUCCAUCAAUUGUAUCUCCACCCCAAUAUAGUGACAGCUCAACUUAUCUUCAAUGACACCAUAUAUAACAUCAACAUCUUCCAGCCAUACCUUCUUUGGAUGUAUUAAACCUUUCACAAGUUCGCCUACACAGCCCUCCAAUAACUUUUUUUUUUCUUAUGUGGCUUCCUGACAGAUUCAUAAGCGUACCCAACCUCUUCUAAGAAUUUGACUGGUACAAAGCAUGCUGGUGGAAGAUUGUUGUUGCGGAACCAAGCACCUUGCUCAACCCUCUUACAAUUUAGCAUUUCAAAUGCAACAUUUAUGUGCUGCCAAUGUAACAAUAUAGUUAGAAACUUCAUAUAGAACUGCUAUAACAUGGACAUCUAGCAUAGCUCAACUCAACCUCUUCCUAAACAUAUCACACAAUCAAAUAGAAGACAGAACAGAGUGUUGAUUACCUCUUUGUUGAGAUUGUUUUCUGCAUCGUCCAUUUUUUGAAAGAACUCUUUUUCAAUUUCUUUUCCAUUGAUAUAAAACGGUCUGUAGUUGAUAAAAUUAACUAGUAUCAAUCGAAACUUUUACAAAAUAAAUUAGGAAUAUUUAUGCGAGGACAAAAAGUUGCUUACACACGAUAUAUGCCCCGUAGAUCCAUCCAGUGUGUAAGCCUUGAAAACCGAGGAAAUUCAGGUGUCACAAAUGGAUCAAUUGGAAGGAUUACCUCAGGUGUUACAGGUAUAGGAGGGUUUCUAGGUCGUAUUGGCCUCUUCUCUUCUCGCUGUAGAAAAGGAAGCAAAUCUACUGGCUGAGCAUUUGCUUUCUUCUUCUUACCAACAUGUGGCUUCCCCUUUAAUUAAAAAUAAAGACAAAAAUUCAGGAUCGUUUUUAUCUUUAUACUUGAAUGCCUUCCUAAUAUGAAGUAAAAAUAUUUUUUAUACCUUUUUUGCAUGAUCGUCUUGACUUGGUUUCACACUCUUACCCUGCUUUACUUCUAUCUGUGAAACAAAACCGAUAUAUCAAACUAUUGACCUGAACUUCAAUUCAAGUGGAUCUUAUUCAUUUUUAUUACCUCUUUUGCCAUUUUCCCAACACCAUCUUCUGAUGGACCAGCUGCUUCAUUUUUCUUACAAGCGACAGCCUUCGCCUUCCCCUUUUUGAAUGACAAAAAUUCAGAUACAUUUAUAUCUUAAUUCCUAGUAUGAUGUAUAAAUAUUUCAUACCUUUUUAUCACCAUCUCCUUCACUUGGAUUCACACUCUGCGUCUGCUCUUCUUCCAUCUGAAAAUCAAUACCGAGAUAUUAAACAAAUGACAUUAUUUUUCAAUUCAAGUGAUCCAAGGCAUUUGUUUUACCUUUUUUGUCAUCUCCCAAACACCAUCUACCCAUUUUCUUGGUUUUCGCAUCUCAGAAUGGUGGAAGUAAAUUUGUUCUUUAGAAUUGUUCAAAGAGACAAAACACGAGCCAUCAAACAAAAUGACUUUAACUUUUCCAGCGCACCAGGCACCAUUGUCGAACGCCUCCACGUCCUGCAUUAGCUCAUAACUUUUCUUCGCUCCAGAUCUCUCAGGUGGUGGUUGAGGACGUAUUCUGUCAAUUGAUACACGUGUCUCAACACUCCUUUUCCUCUUCUUUUCGUCCAGAGACGGGACGAAGUACUCAACUUUCACCAUCUCAACCCCAUCAACCAAAUAUGUUGCCAACACAUUUCCUGGAUACCAUUUAUGACAAGUAUUGUCAUCUUGUGAUGAAAUCUCCACAUUUGCUCCGAUCUCAAAGGGAUUUUGAACUCUGCUUUCUACAUCCUGUGAUGGUUUAGAUUCAAGGAUAUCCAGUCAUUUUGAUAGUUGCUGAGUAUUUAUUAAAGGUUUUAAUGAAAGUAAUACCUUAUUUUGCUCUGUUAAAAGAUUUCUGCGAGCUCGGGUAUUUGGCUGUGUGUCGGAAAUGUUUGGUGAAAUGAUCUCAUUCAUAAGCUCGUGAGUCUCCUGAAUUCAGGAAUGGUUGAAUGAACACGUACAAGGGCUUCCAAAAAUUACUUGAAAAGUCCAAUUUUUUAAAGAAGGUACCUGCUGCGUCUGAAUUGGAGUAAGGACUGGAGUCUCAAUAUUCUGUUGAGCUAUUGGAGAACCAGGUGUCUCUUUCGUGAUCUCAUUCAUAGGCUCUCGUGUAUCCUGAUGUCAGGAAUGGGAUUAUGAACACGUACCAAAUUCAUAAUUUUAUAAAUACCAACAGUUUUCAAAAUUAUACUUGCCUCAUUGUUAAGUUGUUCAUCUGCUUGAUCUGCAUUGGCUUCACCUUGUCUGGAAGCCGUCUCAUGAAAUGGAGUUGUGUCAGUCUGUGCAAGUACAACAAAAAUUAGGAAGGCAAGCCUAAAUAUGUAUAACAUCUUCCAAAAUUACUUGACAACUCAAAACUGAAUCAAGAACUAGAUAAACAUUAAUUUUAAUUUCCGAAAAAAAAGUUACCUCAUUGUUUGGAGUUUCAUAUGAAGUAACUCUUUGUAGUUUCUCUAGGUUUGUCACACGUUCUUUAAUCUGUUUCCUGUCUUUUUCAAUCAAACACAAACGAUCGUUCAUGAUCCUUAAAUUAUCUCCCACCAUCUCGCUGAUUCUGUUGAUCUUUGAUUCCAAAGACUCCUCCUGAUACGAAGUAGAAGCUUGACUCAUCCCUCCAUUCCCAAACAGUAAAGAUGCUCUUCUUAUUUCUUCAUUAGCACCGUAUAGGUCUACUGACAUGUUUCGCCAAUCUCUAAUUUUAAACUUAUAACCUCUCUUGGAUAAAUCGGCCAUGUCAUCCAGAUCUUUAUUAGCUUCGUCUCCCAUGCAAACAUCAUCUUCUGGAUCAUUAGAAAUAGGAGGUAGGAUGCAUGUGACCUUAAGCUGAAACCAUAAAAAUAAUUAGCUUUUAAAUGGAGAAUCAUAAGGCAAAACAGAAACAAGAAAAAAAUAAUGUAAAAACUUACAUGAUCUUUGAUUUCAAUUAGGAGAACAUCUAUCAGCUGUGGAGAAGCUAUUUGAAGGUACUUCUCACACAAAAAUAUUGGGGUAGACGGUUGAACGCUCAGAAUAGGAACAACUUGACUGAAUGCAUACUGUAGCAAAGGUACUGACUCAAGUAUCCAUAUAAGAAAUGCCAUAGGGAACCCUUGCAAAUCAUAAUUGUUUUUGUCGAGGCUUUUGUCGACAGCUCUCUGAAGUGAUUUUAACAGCAAAUUAUAAGCUGUUCUCCCCCAUGGGUAUGUCAUCAAGACAUCCAUAUCCUGCGCUAUUUUCACAUAAUCCAAAGUAAAAGUUGUGCCACCGUCGAGAAGGCUCUUCUGUAGUAGUAUGCUCUCAAUCAGGAGGAGCAUUGCAAGGCAGAAUCUCUCAUCAGAAGCAUCUUCUCUUGUGUUUCUGAGCUGCUUCUCCACGUCCUUUACUGUAUGAGUACGCCCUUUUAGGAAGUCCCACUUAAAUUUCUCGGUUCCCUCUCGUGGUUCUCUUGCUUCACCACUACAUUUCAAACCAGUCACCAUGUGGAAUUCUCUUAUAGAGAACCUCAUUGGCUGAGCACCAAAAUGGAACCAUGCUUCGUGUCUCUUCACUGUCUUGAUGCUUUUGGUGAGAACUGCGUGCACUAUCUUAGCUGAUAAUUUCAAAGACCUCUCUCCAAGCUUGAUCACCGGUCCCAAAAACGUCCCUCUUAUUCUGUUGAACUCAUCAUUUCCUAGAAUUUCCUUAACAGUUUUGAUAUAAGCAACUAUCGAGUGUUGGUUUAUCGAUAUCGUCUUCUCUGGCUCUGAUCCAAUCGGAUACCUCAGCUCAGGCAGUGCUAGUCUUAAUGGUAAUGGAUCUCCCAUCUUGUUUCUAUCCUGCGUAAACAAGAAAAAUUUUAUUUGUCUAAAUUAAUUAAAAUCCAAUUUUCAGGAAGGGUUUCCUGAAAAAAAUACAAAUCCUUCCCGAAGUCUAUACACAUGCUUUCACAUGAACUAGAAUUCUACGAAUCAUAUUAGGUUAAAACGAGCAAGUCUAUACACAAGCAAAAACCAGGAGACCAAUCUCUCAGAAAGAAAACACACAUAAGGUUGAAUCUGCAACAUACCUUCAAGAGAUAGAGCUCUAGAAAUGGUUUUUCUCGGAGAAUAGAGAGAGCUCGCGUAAAAGAUCGAGAGAGAGAGAGUUCUGGAGAUGGGUUUUCGUCGGAGAUCGAGAGAUAUGGAGAUGAGAGAGAGAUUCGAGAGGCGGAGACGAGUGAGAUUCGAGAAGUUUGAAACGGCGAGAGUGUUGAGACGGCAAGAGUUUUGUUUUUUUUCAAUCGAAAUGUAUUGUUUUGGAAACCUAUCCUAUAUUAAUUGGGUUAAGUAUGCUUAUGUAAUAUUCUUUAACAGAUGAUUCUCCUCAGACCAGCGGUUAAACCAAGGCUUUUUAUAACUCAAAAGUCUCUCUAUCCCCGGGUUCGAUAUGUGGUGGAUUCAAAAUCUAUUUUAAUUCUUUUUUGUGUUACAGUUUGGAGUUAAAUAAAAUUAAAUGUAAUCCAUAACAGAUGAUUCUUCUUGGCCUAGUGGCUAAACUCCCACACUAUCCAAAUACGCAGACUCUCUCCCUCUGGGUUCGAUCCUUUGUGGUUCUAAAUUUUUGUUGUCUGUAAACAUCACAAUUUUAAGCUUACCAUAUACAUGUCCAAUCCUUAGUAUAUAAUCUCAUUUCAUUCUUUUUUACAUUUGAAACACUUAACUUUUUUUCUGGAAACCCAUCCAGAAACAAUAUUUUAACCUUCCAAGAUAUAUGAUACCCAAAUAAAAUACUUGAUAUCCUUCCAAUCUUUCUUAUGUAACCAGACGCCAACAACAUAACAAAAUAAACAGUCAUAACUAAAACCGAGUCUUAACUAAAACAAAAAAUGUUUUCAUGCAUCAUUCUCAUUUCCCAAAGCUCUCAUCCACAAAUUGGUUGAAGAUCUCACAAGACAAGGUUCUCCUUAGCUCCAAUGCAUUGUCAUCAUUAAUCUUUGUCAUGUCUCCUAUCUUCAAUGACUGGCACUCCAGAAUCUUGACAAGAAAUAUCCCACAGUUGAAAGGAUGUUUUGUCUUGGGUAAACCUUGUGCCUGCUCAAUCUCAAAUGGAAUCAUCUUCACCUUAUCUACCUCAUCACCAGAAGAUUCCACCAGCAGAUUAGAAAUCAACACUGUCAUAUUUAAAAAUCAAUAUCAAGAUAGAAUCAGUUGAAUAUUUCAAACCAAGAAACAGAUGAAUACAUCAAAUACAGAUUGUUUAUACAUACCUGCCAACUUUUUCACUUGAGGAAUAUCAAUGCUGUUGCUUUCCUUUUGAAAACAAUCAUAUACUGUGAUUCUUUUCUUCUUCAAAUGAAUUUCCAUCCCAAUCCAGACAUUGCUUUUUUUUCCAAGAGUAAUCCCAUACACAACAUCAACAUCUUCUCCCCAUGUCUUCUCUGGAUAUACCUUCCCUCUCACAGUAUCUUUAAAUAAAUCGUUGAAAAUCUUUUUACCUUUGACCUUUUCUUUCUUGUAAGCCAAAUCAUCAGAGAGCAAGCAAUGCAAGAACUCCAUAGGUAGGAAGCACGCCUUUGGAAUCUUGUAGUUGUGGAACCAAGCAGCAUUCUCAUUUCUUCUGCAAUUUAGCAUUGCAAAGGCUCCAUCAAUGUGCUGCAAAAAAAAAGGCAAACAUUAUCUAAUUUGUUACUAUAUAAUUUCCUGAAACUAAACAAAUCCUUCCUGAAUUUUUUUUUAAAAAAAAAGCUCAAGGCAAGAACAUAUGUAAACAAAUUACCUCUUUCUUAAGGUCCUUUUUUGCAUUUUCCAUGCUUUGAAAGAAAGAUUUCCUUAUCUUAUUAUCAUUGAUUGAUAGGGACCUGCAGUCGAUUAAAGAUUCAAAGGAAUUACCAAACCUCUUAUACAUAAAUAUAAGAAUAUAUAGACAAGGACAGAAACAUGCUUACGUUUCAUGCAUGCCGGGCUUUAAUGUCAUCCAAUUUUGAAGCCUUGAAAGCUUAUGUUCCGCAGGAGUUGAAAACGGAUCAACUGCAGGUAUAAUCUCAGGUAUUACAGUUAAAGCCGGAUUUCUGUCAGACUUGAAUGGAGUUUUUGUGUCUCUAGAUCGUUUAGGCACCCUCUCGCUCCUUCUUAGGAAAACAUUAUCCAUUCCUGAAUUUUGUGAUGAGGCAGCAGCUUUCCUUUUCUUAUCAGGCUUCACCUUUAAUCAAACAAUAGACACCAAGCAAAAUAUUAUCAAAUUUGUUGCAAUCGGAAUUUCUGGAAACCAUUCCUGAAACUAAAAUGUAUGUAUAUCAAACAAUUCACGUGAAGUAUAAUUCUAGUUAUGAUUUACCUUAUCUGCCAUCUUCCAGACUCCAUCUUUCCAUUCUCUAUGAAUUCGCAAAUCUGAAUGUUUGAAUAGAAUAGUUUCCAUAGAAGUAUAGAGACACACCGAGUAUGUGUUAUCACCAAGUACCAUGCUAAUUUGUCCGCUGCUCCAGCCAUUGUUGUAGAAGGCUUCUACCUUAUCCAUCAUCUCAAAGGAUUUUUGGUCACUAGUUGGUGUUGCAGGACGUAUUUUGUCAGCCGUGAUAGUAUCCUGAAGUUUCUGAAGUCUAUGUUGGUCUGUGAAGAGUGUCGUGUACUCAACUGUCAGCUCCUCUAGUCCUUCACACAGUUUAAGAUCAACAACCUUUCCUGGAUACCAUAUUUCGUCAUCAGUAGACAAAAUUUCAACCUCUGCGCCUAUUUGAAAGUGAGCUAGAAGCCUGCUUACUUCAACCUAUUAAAAAUGAAGAUUCAGUAACAUCAGCGGUUUUAAAUUGUUAGAAUAAUAAUUAAAGAUCAAAUAUACUCGAUGCAUACCUCGUUUUUUUCUGAAAAAUCUAUAGCACUUGUCUGAAGAUGCUCUGUUUGCUGAGUAAUAGGCGGCAUCUUCGAAACAUAUGUGGAAACUAGCUCAGUAGUAGGUUCUGUAGUAUCCUUGAGAUUUUCUUCUGCUUGAUUCUGCUCUGAUGGUGUCUCAUCGGAUUGAUCUCCCUCACUUGUCUGAAGGUGCUGUGUUUGCGGAGUAAGAGGCUGUGUCUUCGAAACAUCUGUGGAAACUAGCUCAGUAGUAGGUUCUGUAGUAUCCUUGAGAUAUUCUUCCGCUUGAUUCUUUCUGCUUGAUUGUGAAUGCUCUCCUUCACUUGUAGAAAAAUAUUGGGUCGCAGUUUCUGUCUCACUCUAUAAGACAAAAGUAAAUGGUAAGAGUUAGUUGAAUAGAAAAAUAUUACCUAAACAUUUUAAAUAUUUCUUCUUACCAAAGCAUUCUUAUUUUCUUCAAUAACUAGUGCAAUUAGUGAAGACAAUGGAGAGGAAGGUCUGUAAUGCACAGCAUGUGUAUCCUCCUGUAAUAACAGUAAAAUAAAAGAGGUAGUUAUGAAGAAGUUUCUACAAUUUAAAAUUCAAGUUGUACUUAUGAAAGACAUUUCUAUGCUUACCUUUUUAUUGUUUGCUGAAAUGAUCUCAGUCAAUGGCUGUGUAGCCUCAUACGUUUCCUCUGUUACCGUCUGCAAAAAAAACAAAAAAAAGUCAGGUAGGGGAUCAAAAACACGUACAAAAGCUUUCAAACAUUACUUGAAAUCUCCAAGAUUUUUUGAACAUUUACCUGCUGUUUCUGAAUUGGAGUAAAAACUUGAGCCUCAAUACUCUUUGGAGAUAUUGGAGAAGAAGGUGUCUCAUUCAUUUCCAGUGUUUCUUUUUGCAAAACUUGAGUCUGAGCAGCAGGUGACUCAAUCACAAUCUGCAAAAAAUAUCAGGAAAGGCCAUCAUGAAUACAUUCAAUUAUAAUUUCUAGAGUAAAUAUUACCUCAUCAUCUGGUUUUCCUUCUCCUUGAUUAGUUUUGGGUGGCGUUUCAUCAGUAGAGGUUUGUGUUUCCCUCUGCCAAAAAUUAGAAAGGUCUAUAUAUGUAAAUCACCCAAAACUAAUUGUAAACUCCAACUGUCAUUGAGCAUAUACCUCUUUUGUCAGAUUAGGAGUAAAAACUUGAGUAUCAAGGGCAGGCGUGUCAUCCGAUGGCUCUCUCUCAAUCUGUAAAAAUUAUCACGAAGUCAAUCCAGAGUACGUUCUAAAGCUUCCAAACAUUAACUUAAAAAUCCAAGAUUUUUUUUGACCAUGUACCUGCUGAGUCUGACUUGGAGUAUAAACGGGAGUUUCAAUACUCUUUGGAGCUAUUGGAGAAGAAGGUGUCUCAUUCAUUUCUACUGUUUCUUUCUGCAAAACUUGACUCUGACUAGCAGGUGACUCACUUGUUAAUUUCUCUCUCACAAUCUGCAAAAAAAUAUCAGGAAUGGCCAUCAUGAAUACAUUCAACUAUAAUUUCUAGAAUAAAUAUUACCUCAUCAUCUGGUUUUCCAUCUUGAUUAGGAUUGGAUGGCCUCUCACCGGUAGACGUUUCUGUUUCUUUCUGUCAAAAAUCAGAAAAGCCUUUAUAUGUAAAAAAAAAUCACCCAAAACUAAUUUGUAAACUCCAACUGUGAAAACAAUAUCAUUGAGCAUAUACCUCUUUUGUCAGAUUAGGAGAGAAUACUUGAGUAUCAAGGGCAGGAGUUUCAUCAUCUGAUUCAUUCAUUGUGUCCUGCAAAAAUCAAGAAUGCAUUCUAGAAUAUGUACAAAAGCUUCCAAAUAUUACUUCAAAACUCAACAAUAUUUUAUUGGUUACAUACCUCAUUUGUCAAAUUAGGCUGUUGAGACAUUGGAGAUAAAGGCGUCUCACUCGAUGAUUGCGUGUAAUCCUGCAAAAAUCAGGAAGGCAUUCAGGAUUUUGUACAAGAAUUUCCAAAUAUUUUCUUAAAAAUUUUUGAGCAUAUACCUCAUUUUGUUGAGACUUUGGAGAUGCAGCUGAUUCAAUCAUUGUCUCCUGCAAAAAUCAGGAAUGCAUUCAAGAAGUACAAAAGCUUUCCAAAUAUUACUUCAAAACUCAACAAUAUUUAUUGGUUACAUACCUCAUGUGUCAAAUUAGGCUGUUGAGACAUUGGAGAUAAAGGUGUCUCACUCGAUGGUUGCGUGUGAGACAUUGGAGAUAAAGGUGUCCCACUGGAUGGUUGCGUGUGAGACAUUGGAGAUAAAGGUGUCCCACUGGAUCGCUGUUUGUCAAAUAUUAGGAAGGCAUUCAAGAAUAUGUACAAGAUCUUCCAAAAAAUACUUGAAAAUGCAAAUGUAAAAGAAGAUGUUUUGAGAAUUUACCUUUUGUGUCACGUUAGUGGGAAAAACAUUGCUGUUUCCUUCCAACUCUGACACACGAGCUCUAAGAUGUAUGUUUUCUUCUUCCAGUAAUGACAUUCGAUCCUUCAUGCUCUUCAGAUUCUCCUCCAUUACCGUGAUGAUCCUGUUCACUUUUUCAUUUACUGAAUCCUCAUCAAUCGGAGUAGAAGCUUGGCCAGUCUCCUUAUUUGCCAUCAUUUGAAUAAGAGCAUCCAAUGUGUCAAAUGUGUCUACACACCUAUUUUCCCAGUCAUCGGCUGUAAUCUUGUACCCUUUCUUUGUUACAUCUUUCACUGUUUCCAACUCGUCACUAUAUUUGUCUUCAAUGGAGAUAUCAUCUUCUGGAUCAUGAGGAAUAGAAGGUAGUAUGCAAUGGACCUUCAGCUGAGAAUAUUUCAAAAAAAGACCAAUGAGAAACAUAUUAAAAAGAAGAAGCCAAAUAAACUGAGAAACAUAUACUUGGAAAAGCUUACCUUUGUAUCAGCUUCAACCUGUAAAACCCUAUCAAGUGAUGGAUUCUCUAUCUCAGUGUAUUUUUCACACAAGUAAGUCGGCCCAGGAACCUCAACUGUUGGUACACACUUACUGAACUUAUUCCUUAGCAAAGGAAUCGACUCUAGUAUCCAAAGAAGGAAUACUAGAGGAUAACCUUGCAACUCAAAUUUGGAUUUAUUCUCCAAAUGAUUCGCGACAGCGUUUUGAAUUGACUUCAGGAGCACAAUGUAAGCCUCUUUUCCCCAUGGAUAUGUCAUAUCCUGUGCAUUUUUCGCAUAUUCCAAAGGAAAACUCCCUCCUUUGCUCUUCCGCAAUAAUAUGCUCUCUACCAGGAUGAGCAUUGCGAGGCAUAUUCUCUCCUCAGAAGCAUCUUCUCUUGUGUUUCUGAGCUGGUCCACCACGUCACUUAACUUAUGACUACGCCCCUUUAGCAAUUCCCAAUUAAAUCUCUCGGUUUCCCUUCGUGGUCCUUCUAAUGCACCACUACAUUUCAAGCCUGUCAUCAUAUGAAAUUCUCUUAUAGAGAACCUCAUUGGCUGCGCACCGAAAUGGAACCAGGCUUCAUUCUCCUUGACAGAAACGAUGCUUCUAGUGAGAAUGGCGUAGACUAUCUUUGCUGAUAACUUCAAUCCUCUCUCACUGAGCUUCAUUACAGGUCCCAGAAAUGAUCCUCGGACUCUUAUCAUCUCAUCUGGUUUUAGGAUGCUUUUGACAAUAGAGAUAUAAUCUGAACCAGAGUAUUGGUUGAUUGCUGACUUUUCUUUUGGCUGUGAACCAAUAGGAUACUUCAGCUCUGGCAGUGCUAGUUUUAGAGGUACUGAAUCUCCCAUCUUGUUUCUAUCCUGCGUAAACAAGGAAAAAAAAAAUUUCAAACUUUUCUGGAAGGCUUUCCUGAAAUAACACAAAUACAAAACAACACAAAAGUCUUCAUUUGCUUCGCUUGUUAAUAAGAACGAGUAACACACAAAUCAAAAUCAAAACGCAAGCUUCCCAAAUUUUAAUUCAAAAACCCUAAUUUUAAAAAGUUACCGAUUUUGAGAGUAGAGAGUGUGACGCUGAUGAUUAGAUAGCCGGAGAAGAUGAUUAUCGAGCCGGAGAAGAUGAUUAGCGAGCCGGAGAAGACGAUUAGCGAGCCGGAGAAGAUGAUUCCCGAGCCGGAGACUUCGAUUCCCGAGUCGGAGAAGAUGAUUCCCGAGCCGGAGACGACGAUUCCCGAGUCGGAGAAGAUGAUUCCCGAGCCGGAGACGACGAUUCCCGAGUCGGAGACGACAGUGCCGGUGAGGGUUUGAAGAUUCCCGAGAGGAGACGACACGAUUCGCGAUCGAAUGAAAUGAAAUGUUUUUUUUUUCUAUUCUUAUAACAAAGGGUAUAAAGGUAAAUUACCCCUUUAAUGAAACCUAUUUUUGUGACUUCUGAUCCUGAGUGCUAGUUUGGGGAGGAAAACUUCAAAAGGUGCUAUUAUUGACAAUUGCCCUUUUAAAAACGUGCAUCAUUAAAAUGUUACCUAAAACAUGCAACACUAAUAUAUAACAUGCAUCAAUAAAACUAGAAUUUGACUCACACAAUUGUACGGAUAUUAUUUUCAGUUGAUUAAAUUUAAAAAUAAUUAUUUAUUCAAAAAAUAUUUAAGAAUGGCUAUGUUUUUAAAACUUAUAUGGUAUUAUUUGCUCAUAACUCAUUUGUCAUUUGAUAAAUUGUUAGAAAUAAAAAUUUUAGCAUAAUAUAACUCAGUUGUCAUUUGCUAAAUUUAUAGUUUUUAUUUAUAUUUUUUAUUAUUUAAUUAUAAUAUUUUCAUUUUAUAUUUGAAAGAUAAAUGAAUUUUCUUUCAAACAAUAUUUUUGUAAAUGUAUUUUUUAAAAAAUAAUCAACUAAAAUUGUUAUUAUCAUUGAAUAUAAUUAUUUUUGACAUAAUUUGAGUUUUCGUUUACAUCAAAACUUAUCAUAUUUUAGGAUAAUUUUAAUUUAAAAUGUAAUUUUCAUAUUUUUCAAACAAAUUCUAAAAAUAUUUUUUUAAAUAUUUUGUUAUAAUUGUUAAAAAAAUAUUGAGUUGCAUUUCAAAUAAAAAGGUAAAGAUAUUAAAAAUAUUCUAAUUAAAAUAUGUAAAAUUUAAUAUAGUUUUAAGGAAAUUGUCAAAAUAAAAAAAAUUACACAUAAAAUAAUCAUGAUUUUUGUUAACUGGGCGGAUCAUUAUUUAUAUGAUAUCGCACACGAAAGAAAAAAAAAUUUAAAUUAUCUAAUUAACUCUAUACUCAUUUUAUUUAUAUUUUUAUAUGGUAUCAUACAUUCGUAAAAAAAUAGAUAGUUUAAGAUGAAAAAAAAUAUAUUUACUUAAUGAAUAUAAUAUGAACGAAUAUUACAAAUACAUCAUUUAAUAAAAUAAAUAAUUAAAAAGUGAAAAUUCAUACCCGCGCUGGCGCGCGGAUCAGGAUCUAGUUUUAAAUUAUUCUACAUGUUAUUUCCCAAUUCAAAGUUUCAAACCAUAAAACCACAUAAUCUUUGUGGUUAAAAAAAAAGAAAAAAAAAGCAUAGGCGAUGGAGAGGCAUGUUUUAACGAGGGUCAAGUUGGUUUUUAUUUGGUUAAUUGUUUUUGGUUCAAGUGUUUCGACUUUAAUUUAGGUUGUAAACGAAUUUUGGUUUACGUUGUAAACCAUUAAAUCAGUGAAAAGCCGGGUUUGUGUUUCAGUUUUUUGAAUUGGUGAGUAAUACGUAAAAUAACUUAAAAUAUGUGAAAUUAAGAUGAAGUUGAAAGUUUGUGUAUAAUUGUUAUUAUAUGAUAUUUUGUGGGGGAAUUAUGUCCUUUACUCAAAAACAUUUAUAUAAGUUUAUAAAUUCAACCCCAUUUCCUAAUCUUAAAACCUAAACAAUAAUCAAUAAUCUAAACCCAAAUGUUAAUGUAGUUUUGAUUGAGCAUAUCUUUUUAAAAUUAGUAGCCAAUUUAGAAUAUUUCAAACUUCUUAAAAAUAUUCUAUUGAUGUAAAUAUAAAGAUUAUCUAUUGUAUAUAUGAUUAAAUAUUGGUUCCAUUUUAUAUAUUAAUUCAAAAUUAAGAAUUAAAUUUAUAAUAUAAUAGAAACUUUGGGUUUUAUUGGUUUUAUUAAAUAUCAAGGUUCAUAAUCAGAGAUAGUGAAAAACUAAAUUCAAGUUCGAGCUUAGAGUGAGAGAUGUGAAAAUAAAAAUAGAAUGAUCAAAAUGUUAAUGAGGCAAAGUCUUGAGAGAAAAUGAGAGAAAAUAGAAUUUUUAGGUUGAAAUCUAUUUAUAGAUGUCUUAAAACGAGCUGGAUCCACCCAAUAAAGCUCGGUCAAACCAAUAAAAAGUGGUCUUUCCGUCUGACAUGGUCAUCCCACUAUAAGUAGGUCGCUACAACACUUAGUUGUGUGGGGCUUCUUGGGGAACCAUAGCGACAUGCUCUGGUCGCUACAGCUAUGGUCGAUACAUGGUUGAUAUGACUCCAGUAGAUAGAUCAUAACUCCUUCAAUACAGCUACAAAUGAUUUGAAACCCCGGCAUUGGAAAGCUAACUCAAUUGUCUAUAUCGUCCCGAAAUUCGAGCUUCAGAAGAGAUCUUUAAGGCCGUCAUCCAUGUUCAUCUUUUACCCUUUUGACUCAAAACUCCUCAAAUUCCCUCAAACUCACCAAUAAAUAUCUCCAAAACCUGAUAUAGACACAUGCAAUGCGAUAUAAAUAUGUAUAAAUGCAUCUCUAUAUGAUCAUUAUAUACAUUAAAUGAUAAUUUAAAAUCAUGGAAAUUUAUAAGAUAUCAACCCUCCCACACUUAUCAUUUACUUGUCCAUAAGUAAACUUUCAAGAACAAAGUGAGAAAGAGGUGCGAAGGUGGAAGCUCAUUACCAAAAGAUAUUUUUCAAAGCCGUCAACGUGAUAUCCUUACAAAAUCAUACCAAAUAUCAAGAGCAAAACAUCAUAUGAAACUCUAACUUCUCUAGGCUGAUACUACUCAAAUUACCCUAAGGAGUGAUUUUACUCUCUCAAAUAAGAAGUUCAAUUGUAGUACUUAGGGAUCGAAGCUACAGAGAGUUAGGGCACACAAUAGACUAUUAAAACCAAGAUUAAGCUAGGCAAAGCAGUAAAUCAAUGAAAGCAAGAUGAACAAAGUAGUUGUUCCAUUGGUUGAUUGAGGUUGUAAACAAUUAAGAGAAAUAGCUAGACCUAGGGAUUUAUCAAUCAAGAGAUUCAAAACUUCAAUUCAAGGAUGCUAAUGGUUUACAGAUUAAUUUUAGAACUUGAUUUUAAUAAGUAAGCAAUCCAGCUUUCACAUGCAAUUGCUAAUCAGAUGUUUAAGUCCAGUCUCAGCUGUCGCUUAUUGACUUGGGGCGAGUGUCGAUCGAUGCUAUGGCCUGAGCGUCGAUCGAUACUUCCCCAGACAAGCAUUAACGACCUAAUCAAUAUAGUUCAACUAGAUUCCUAGACCAAUUCUCGCAUGCGCCUAGGUAUCUAAUCCAGCAGAGUUCGGGUUCCGUUAAUUGAUUGCACUUUCGUGCCUCUCAACUAUCCUAUGAUUCUAGGUUCAAAUAAUUAGUCGCACUGUCGUGUUAUUCUAACUAUUCCAGAUCCUAGUAUUACAAAUCAUCCUGGUGUAGAAAUCUAUAGAUAAUAUAGCAAUCCUAAUUGAUCAGUUUGACAUUAAGCUCAUGAAAUCCCUAAACCUAACAAGAUGAAUUACUUAGACAUGCAAACAAUAACACAAAUCAUAGUCUGAAAAAUAUAAUAGAUAAAUCAAUGGUAAGACAAAUGGAGUUCCAAUCAAUAUCUGAAGGAGAAUUGAUCUUCUCUCUAAACCUAAGAAAAAACAAUAGAAUAGGAUAAUAGAAAGCUUGUUACCGUUAACAAUGAUUUAUAAAUAAAUACAUAAAUAGGGUUUCUGGUCGUCCAUGGGUAUUUUGGUAACUUGGUGUGGCUUCUGGGCUUCAAACGGUCUUGAAAAAUGCGUGUCCCACGUUCUGGCAUCACUGUCGAUCGACACUAAUGCUGUGUUAACGAUCGACAGUUAUUCAUCUCCUCGAUAGCUUCUUCUCGCGAGGCAGACUGACUACUUUUCAGUAAAACGGUCAUAACCUCUGCUGCAGGUUACCAUUGACCUCAAACCGAUGGAAUUGGAAAGCUAACUCAAAGCUAUAUUUUGUGUCAAAAGAUGGGCUCAAUAUAACGGUGGGAAAGUCUCCAUCUAUAGCUAAAUAUCUGACGUGUAUGUGCCGCUCUGCACAUCAAAAGGCUCCAAAAGACACCAAAAUCACCACAUUCCUCCAAAUCGUCCAUGAACCUGUAAAUACUCUAAAUAGACUCUAUAUAGUAGUAAAUAUAUGUUAAAACACUUAUAGAUCAUGGCUAAAAGAGGGUAAAAUCCAUGGUCUAUCAACUUCCCCAGACUUACCCUUUUGUUUGUCCUCAAGCAAAACAGACGGACAGUCUCUCUGAAAGAGGUUUGAAAACAGCAGGGACUCACAUGAUUUAAAACUUAAACUCAAAAAUCAAUAUUUAUAUCGAGCAAUAACCAAAAUGAAAAAAAAACGACACAAAAAUGAGAAAAAUAUUGAAGAUAUUUAGGAUUGGCACGUGAACGUAAACUUCUCAUAACCAUAAUUAACUUUUAAAUUGCUAAAUCAUUAUAUAAAACAGAACUCUCAUAUUUUCAUUGUAACCAAAUAGUAGAUCUGAGAUUCUCUCGUCUAAAUGUUAGGUUCUUAUGCGAUAAAUGAAUUUUUGACCUAAGAUAUUUUUAAAAUAGAAUCAGCUCAUCAGUAAACAAAUUAUAUAAUUAACAAAAAAAAAAUUUUAAAUGAUUUAAGGGCCAAAAUUUAUUCGAUCAAUAAUAUAAAUUUUAUUUUUCCAUACGAUAUUUCUUAAAUAAUUCGUCCUACGCAAAGCGUACGUCUUAUCCAAGUAUACUUAAUAUAUUACCAAAAAAAUGUAUCCACAAGAUAUUAAUUUUACAGAAUUUUCCCAUUUUAUGUCUGAUUUGUUUCAGUUUGAUUUUCCUUUAAAAUUUUAAGGCUACAAAAAUGGAUAUCACUGAAUUAAUUUACGUUGUGUUAUUUAUUUUUUUGAAACUCAUUUACGUUGUGUUAAGUCGUAGAACCAUAGAACCAGGCCCGGCUUAAAUACAUUAUGGGCCUUGUGCAGACAUAUAUUUUUUCCCAAAAAUUAUAAGGAAAAAAGUUUCAUAGCUACCCGAAGUUUACACUAAUAUGGUGAAAACCAUCCAAUAUAUGAAAAUAUGUCUACAACAACACGAAGUUUAUGUUAAUACAUGUCACAUGUACGAAGUAAAUAAUAAUAUGGUAGCAACAUCACAAUUGGGUUUAAUUAAUUUUAAGCUAAGUUAAUGGGGUCAAUCCGUGAUUUACUAAACUUAAUAAACUUAAUAAUUUAAUAAACUUAAUAAACUUAAUGGUUUAUUAAGUUUCAUAAACUUAAUUUAUUUUAUUAAUAAACUUUAACUUAAAAACUUAAUAAUUUAUUAUACUUAAUAAAUUUAAUAAACUUAAUGGUUUAUUAAGUUUAAUAAACUUAAUUGAUUUUAUUAAUAAACUUUGUAAUUUAAUAAACUUUAACAUAAUAAACUUAAUAAUUUAUUAUACUUAAUAAGUUUAUUAAACUUAAUAAUUUAAUAAACUUAAUAAACUUAAACUUAACAAAUUUAUUAAACUUAAACUUAAUAAACUUAAUAAAUUCAUUAAACUUAAACUUAAUAAACUUCAUAAAUUCAUUAAAUUUGUUCAAUUUAUUAAGUUUAAUAAAUUUAUUAAGUUUAUUAAUAAAUGAUUAAGUUUAUUAAGUUUAUUAAUAAAUGAUUAAGUUUAUUAAGUUUAUUAAUUAAUGAUUAAUUUUAUUAAGUUUAAUAAAUUUAUUAAUUUUUAUAAGUUUAAUAAAUUUAUUAAUUUUAUUAAGUAAGUUUAAUAAAUUAUUAAGUUUAUAAACAAAAUCAAUUAAGUUUAUUAAAAUUAAUAAAUCAUUAAGUUUAUUAAGUUUAGUAAAUUACGGAUUGGCCUCACUAACUUAGUUUAAAGUCAAUUAAACCCGAUUGUGAUGUUGCCACUAUAUUAUUAUUUACUUCGUACAUGUACAUGUGACAUGUAUUAACAUAAACUUCGUGUAGUUGUUGACACAUUUUCAUACAUUGGAUGCUUUUCACCAUAUUAGUGUAAACUUCGUGUAGUUAGAAAACUUUUUUCCAAAUUAUAAUGAUAUUUCCUUAAAUUUACAAAUUAGGACUCUGUGCAUGUGCACCUUGAGCACACCCCAAGAGCCAACACUGAAUAGAACCAAAUAAGAAAGAUUUCUGAUAAAAAGAUUGUAUGAUUAUUUAGGAGACUAGAUUCCAUGUUGUGUGCCGUGCUGCCGUGCUGAAAAUACUUUUAGUUUUAUAACCCAUGUUCAAAAACACGGCCGAGUUGGCCGACUUCGCGCCGGUCAAACGUAAUUCGGUGGUGUUUUGCCGCGAUUUUGUGUUAUUCGGGUAAAAACUCGGAUUAAAAAAAUAUACAUAUUUUGACAUUUUCCAGUUUGAAAUCGGUUCUUUAAGCAUAGAUCUAUCAUAUUUCAUUGUUACCGAUCAAGAAUUGAAGUUAAUCGUCGAAGAAAAAAAUGAUUUAUGUUAAAAAUAAAUGAAAAACGGCUGUUAAUUAGGGUUGGAGAAAAAACAGGUCGGGAGGAAAAUGAUGAAAGUAAAAUUACAAAUGUGUCUUUCAUUAAUGAAAUGUUUAAAGAAAGAGCAAAAAAAUGGACAUUUUUGGGAAUUGAACCCGGGAGAAGAGAACUAGUUUUUUUAAGGACUUGCAUGCAUGAGAUUCUACGCGUACAGUUUUACGAUGCAAGUCCUUACGGUACAUUGUAAAACUGUACCGACAUCGUCAAUGUUUAGUCUACGCGUACGGUUAUAACUCACUAGUUAUUUAUAUUAUUAUUAUUAAUUUAUUAUUAUGGCGGAGUCGUCACAUGCAUGCAUGAGAUUCAUUCAUUCAUAAUGUCACACUCACACACUAUCCAUUCCCCUUUUUUUUUUGGACUCUUUUUUUUUUGUUAUAAAGAAAAUAAAAUUCUUAAAGUGACAGACUUCACGGGUUACACUGUGUUACUACCCGCCAAAUUCUACCCGCCACCUUUUAAAUUUCAUUUUAGUUUCUUCACCGUCAAUAAAUCGUCAGGACAAAAUAAAUACUUUUACAUUUCAUUGUUUUAUCGUACCAAGUGUGGUCAGUAUCUCUAAUAAUUUUGAAGAAUAUUUAGAAAACUAGUUAGAUUAUAAUUUUCGACGAUGUUAAUAUAUAUGUCGAAGUAAAUAAGGUAAAAAAAAAUGGUUCGUUUAUGGUUUUAUAUGGCAUUUAAAUUUUGAAUAUUGACUAUCAGAUUCAGUAUAUCAUUUAGAAUAGAAACAAAAGUAACCUAAAACUUAUAGAUUGAACUUCUUUUCAGAAUGUAUAUGCAGAGCCGGUCCUAGUGUAUUUGAGGUUACAAGCUAAAAAAUAAAAAAUGGCCGAAUUUUUUUUUUUUUUGCACUAGGGAAUUAUCGAACCUUGCUCUUUCAGACUAGACAUAUGUUGAUUCAACCACUAGACUACACAAGUUUUUGAUAAUUUUGUGGCCGCUUUUAUAUUUAUAAAGUGGCGGCCGGAAGUCCAUGCUUCACCAGCUUGGGCCCAAGACCGGCACUGUGUAUAUGGCACUGUGUAUAUGCAUUUACAGCUUUAGUAUCCUUUGAAUUAUUAAUUAUCAAAAAAAAAUUGUAUCCUUUGAAUUAUCGAUUAUACUAGCCAGAAUUAGUACAUGCUGACCUAUUUACAUUAUAUUUGAAAUCCCAUAGUGAAUACGCGCACCAUGACUAGUAUUACUAUUAUUGUAUUAUAUUAUAUUUACAUUAAUAUGUAAUAUGAAAAAACUAUAAAGAGAAUCAUCAGUCACGGACAUCAUGACUCAAUCACUCUAAGCUAGAAUGCUAGAUACGGAAUAUCUUUCAGAAGCGUGGGACUAAAAUAUUACAAGAAAUAGCUUCGAACAAUUCACAGAAGCUAGCAUGGUGAAAAAUAAUCUUGAACCCAACAGACUACUUUUGGUCGGGAACCCCAAUAAGUUGGAACUUUGUUCAAGAUUUAUCAACCUAUAUUUGUAUAUGAAUAGUUGAAUAGUGUAUAUCCCAAGAACUGAUUCUCUUUUUCCUAUUUGUAUAGGCAAAGACAUAAACUAGCACCCAAGAGAACUUGCCUAUGAUCCUCUCUCUCAAAAAAAUGUGGACCUAACAAGGAAGGAACAAGACAAAAAGAGUGAGAACGAUUUUUUUUAUUAUAUCUUGUAACUAUAUAGAGAAUGGGAGGUGUCUCGUAAGUCAAGUAGUAAUGACAAAACCCCUUCAUAAAUUGUCUACCCACUGGGCACUACACUACAAGAACCUUUGGUUGCUCCCAUUGUUUUCACCUAUAAAUUACAAAUAUGACUAUGCCUAAGGUUCUUAAGAAACCUAAUAUAACGAAGGUUUAAGUUAGUGGCUUCUAAAAGCUUAGACUAUGCAUUCUCUAAUAUUGAUUAUAGACUAAACAUUGACAAUGUCGGUACAGUUUUACGCGUUGGCUUUAGAUAUUAUAAGGACUUGAUCUGAGGUUUAGUUAAAAUAAGGUGCAAGACAUAAGACAUGAUUCUUAAAAGGUACUAGCUUAAGACCCGCGCAAUUGCACGAGGUGAAUGUUAUAUAUAAAACUAAUUUUUAUCUAUUAUUAUUUAUUUAUAUUCAUUUACGUAUUAUGUAUAUAAUUAAAUUAGAGUAAGAACAUAAAUCAAAACAAUACAUCUUGUUUAUUUACGAUACUUUUUUGGUAAAUAAAUCAAAACAAUCAUUUUAUUUAUUUUCUAUGGUAUAUAACUAAAUUUCAGUAACAUGGACAUAGAUAUAUAGUAUAUUUUAAUAUAAAUAUUUAUUAUUGAAAAUUCAUACUCAUAUGAUAAACACAAAAUUUCUAAUGUGCGAUUUUUUAAUGCAAAUUUUAAAAUUUAAAUAUUAAGGUUUCAAUACUUUUUCAAUAUAAAUUUAGAAAUUAUCAUAUUUAAGUAUUAUUCUAUGUUAUAUAGUUUAAUUUUAAACUAUAUUAUUAUAUAAUAUGAAUGUCUAGCAAAUGAGACUUCAUAUUCAUACGAUUUAUGAUCAUUUGUAUCUUGUUAUUACCAAAACAAAGUUAAACCAUUGAUCACAAAAUUUUAGUGUGAGACAUUUAACGUUUUUAAUAAUUUAUAGUCGUUUUAGAAAUUCAAAAUAUAACAUAUAUUUUUUUAUUAUUAUUAUAUGGUUAAUGUUGUUGUUUAAUAUUUUUUAAUAAUAUAAAAUUAAACAAAAAAGAGCUAAGAUACAAAAUUUAUUAUCAAAUAUUUAUUAUUCAUAAUCAUUAAUUAUCAUAUAUACAUUAAUCAUAUUAAGCAACUCCGUAGCUUUUAUUUAAGGAAAGUGCGAGAAUAUUAUUUUGUACACUAUUUAUAAAUUUAAUAGUUAGUUUAAUAAAAAAAUAUAAUAUAAGUUAAGAUAAACCAACCUAUUUUUCUAUGAAUUCUGAAAUUCAUUCUCAUGGUCACACGUGACUACAAAAUAAUGUUGUAAUGUUUCACAAUUAAUAUAUAAAAAAGAUUAUUGGCAUGCUUCACGAAGCUAAUUUUUGACCAAAUAUGCAAAUAUAAACUAUGGAAAUUUCUUAGGAACAUACUAGUAAUGAAAAUCAUUGGAGAUCGUACUAUCGUUAUUCGUUACUGAUUCUUUUGCAAAAAUAAACAUAUAAGAAAUGAUUAUGCUAGUUUAUGUUGCUGAGUGCUACAGUUUAUGGGUCUGACCGGUGACCAUUCAUAAAACAAGAGGAACAACAGAAAAAGAAUAUACCGGAAAAAAAUAGCAAGAAUGAAAGUGAAUGGUUAUUGCUUCUCAAAUUUAAUAAGGAAUAAUUUUAUUUUUUAAUUUUCUACAAAAAAAAAGAACGAAAAAGAAUGAGAUAGAAUUAUUAUUCCUUGUGAAUGGUGAUUUUUUAUAGGAACGUUAGAGAAUGCAUUAUUUCCCAUCAUUUCUUGGUCACCUUUCGUAAAAUAGUGUUGUUUUUCUAAUUAAGCAUUUUCAUGUUUUUGUUUUUCUAAACAUUUUCAUGUUGUUUGUUUUUCUAUACAUUUUCAUGUUACGGUAUAUAUAGGCUGAGCAUGUCCAAGCUAUUCAAAAUUAACCGAAUCGUGGAACAGAUCCAGUAACUAGCUAAUUCAUAGUUCUAUUAAAAUUGAGGUUAAGUAUAUAAAAGAAAAAAAAAACAAAGAAAUGAAUAGUAACAAAACUAGAGAGAGAACAGAAAGGAAUAGAGAUUUUGCCGAAACUUUUCUAAGUACAGUGUCUGAGUAUUUUUUUGGUAAUCAUGUUAAAUCAGUGUCUGAGUUCUUCAAACCUUCUCAGACUUGUCGUUUGUAAUUAAUCAUUAUCUGGCCGAUUAAAAAUGAUUAACGUAUUUGAUUUCGUGUUUUCCGAAUGCUUUCACACUAACCAAUUACAUUUUCACAAAAUUUACAAAUAGGUUCGUAGAGCAUGCAGCCAUGUGAUGAGCACAAAAGUGAACAAUUCUUUAGCAGUUUACUUAUAUCAACGUAAAUAGCGAAUGUUAUUCCUAAAUUUCCCUGAAAAGAUAAGAAUCUACGACUACAAAGAUACGCCAAUUUAGGAAAGUAUGACAAACCCUUUAAUUUCGUUUUGGAACUAAGUGACCUUAUACCUGCUUAAUAAAAUCUAAUAUUCCAAUCAUCUAAUCACAGUUUGGUGCUUACACUAUUAAAAAUAAACAAAUAUCGGCGAAUACUUUUUCUAUAAAAGGGUGCACACUAUCAUAUACCUACUUACUAAGUCGUUUACACAACCCAAACCCUCAUUCUAAGAGAUGGGGUCUCACACACAAAACCUCUCUUUUCUUAUCCUCCUUCUCCUAGGCUUCCUUGCUGUCUCAUUCGCUUGCGAAUGUAGCCCUCCUAAACCAUCUCCGAGACCCCACAAACCGCCUAAACAUCCCGUCAAACCGCCUAAACCACCAGCAGCCAAACCACCAAAACCACCGGCAGUAAAACCUCCUAAACCCCCCACCAAACCUCCCACCCUUAAACCACACCCCCACCCUAAACCUCCCACCGUUAGACCACAUCCACACCCUAAGCCCCCUACCAAACCUCAUCCCAUCCCAAAACCGCCCACCGUUAAACCACCACCCUCCACACCCAAACCGCCCACAAAACCACCCACCGUUAAACCACCUCCAUCCACCCCUAAGCCGCCCACCAAACCACCCACCGUCAAACCACCACCCUCCACCCCAAAACCGCCCACCAAGCCACCCACCGUCAAACCACCUCCGUCCACCCCUAAACCACCUACCCACAAGCCACCAACAGUGUGCCCACCGCCAACACCAACACCAACCCCACCUGUUGUAACGCCACCAACACCACCAACACCAACUCCACCAGUCGUUACGCCACCAACACCAGCCCCACCUGUUGUAACGCCACCAACACCAACACCACCGGUCGUAACGCCACCGACACCAACCCCUCCUGUCGUAACACCUCCAACACCACCGGUCGUAACGCCACCGACACCAACUCCUCCUGUCGUAACACCACCAACACCACCGGUCGUAACGCCACCGACACCAACCCCUCCUGUCGUAACACCUCCAACACCACCGGUCGUAACGCCACCGACACCAACCCCUCCUGUCGUAACACCACCAACACCAACUCCACCUAAGCCAGAAACGUGCCCAAUCGACACGUUGAAGCUAGGCGCUUGUGUAGACGUUCUUGGAGGUUUAAUUCACAUCGGGCUUGGUGGAAGUAGCGCCAAGAAAGAGUGUUGUCCGGUUUUGGGAGG